rnacentral:lncRNA from 1 species
UAACUCAUAUUUCGUCGAUAGCUUAAGCUUUUUGAUAUGCAUAUAACGAUUGUUGUUGCUCAUUUUUGCAGCAUGUUGAGAUCAGGUCGAGGGGAGGUGCUCCAGGCGGCGUGAAUGGAGGGUCCAAGAGCAUCAACGAUGUUGACAUCUAGAGGAGGAAGAUGAGAAGCUAGCUAGUAUAGUAGCAGCUAGCCCAUGGAUGGUGAUUCCUCCUCAUUCCCAAGCGUCGAGCAUCCUGUAACAAAUCAUCGAUCAGUUGCUCGGUCGUGUCGGUCCUUCGUGUCACUAAUAGCUAUCAUUUUCAGUUUCUAGUAGUUGUACGUGUUUGAUCUGCUCUCGAUCUGUUCCAGGCUAUGUUGCGUCGUGGUGGUAUGGUACUACUGUAACUCUGAGUCCUUCAUGUAAUCAUGUCAAUGGUGUGUGGUCUUUUGCAAAUUAAGCAGUGGAUGGUGCGUUGUGAUAUGCAUUAUUAGUAGAUUGAUAUCUGUCGCACAAGAGAUUCCUUUUAUUUUCUUGAGAUUCCCUUUGCUGGAGACUUGUCUCAAGUAGAGUCAAGUGCUUGAUUGUUGUUGGUGCUGAACCACUGUGUUACAUGAAACUGAUACUGGUCAGUUCUCAUAUUCAUGUCUUUGAUCCUUACGUUUCUACAACGUACUGCCUGUGAUCUGACAACAAAUUAGGCACACUAGUCCACCAACCCGUGCUGCCGCACGGGCUAAUGUUUUUAGAAACUAUUGUAUUUGAAAAUUAUUUAGAAAUUAAACUCCUAGCUAAUAAUCAAAAUUGAUUACCUACUGCUCUCUUAUUUUUUUCAAAACGUCAACAUAAUACUAUAUAACCUAUCUUUAUCCAGUUGUGAUUGAUUUUUAAUUAAUAAUUACUCUAUGCACUUUUUCAUCCAUAUUCAUACUUUUUCUAUUUUGUAUCGCACAUCCAAUCCUCCAUAUAUUAUGUUUAGCAAACAAAUCAAUAUUUUUCAUCGAUUCCUCACAUACAUGUAUAAAUGGUCUAAAUGGUGACACUCAUCAUGUGUAUAUACUUUAACUUAGUAUUUUUAUAUUAACAAUGACAUAAAUAGGUAAUUUAGAAUCAUAUAUUAGUUUACUUUUUGACAUUUUUGUAUGAUGCACAUGAAGAUAAUUAGAUUAAGAUUUAGGUGUUUAAUUUAGGUUAUUUUUAAUAACAACAUACGUGGGUAAUAUAGAUAAAAUUUUAGAAUGACAUUUUAAGUUAUCAUUUAUAAUGAUAUGUAUUAUUAUAAUGAUAUGUAUUAUUAUAAUGAUAUGUAUUAGUAAAUUGGAUGAAGAUUAUGGGGUUACUUUAUAUUUUUUAUAGUAGCUGAGCUCCGUAAUUUAGAUAUAGGUUUAGAGCUUAUUUUUGAAUAUUUUCGCAAUGACAGUGGUGGGUAACUUUUCAAAAAAUAUAAUAGAUCAAUGGCUAUGAUUAUUAGAGUUUACAGGAUUGGUAUUUGAUGUUUUAAUUUUUAUAAGAAUUUGUCUCUUUUUUCUAACUUGUCAUAGAAAUCUAUACUCUCAUCACUUCCUCUAUAUCUGUAUAAAUGGUGACACACAUCAUGCGUAUAGAACUUGAUUAUUAUAUCAUAUACCAAUAGUGCAAGAUAUAGACGAUUUAGAAUCAUAUAUUGCUAUAUAUUUUUAAUUAAGGUUAUUUGAUUCAAAGUGUAGGGUUAUCAUGUUAUUUUUAAUAAUGGCAUGUGUGGGUAAUAUAGAUGUAAAUUUAACGGGUUACUUUAAGUUAAUAAUAGUGGUGGGCAAUUCGGUUGCAAAUUAGGGGGUUAUUUUAAAUAUUGUUUAUAAUGGCAUAAGUGGGUAAUUUUGAUGAAGAUUAGGGGGUUACUUUAGCUGAUUUUAUAUAAUAGCAGAUGUGGGUAAUAAAUAUAUAGAUUUAGGGGUUACUUUAAGCUAUUUUCAUAAUGGUAUAGGUGGGUAAUUUUUUAGAAAACAUAAUGGAUCCAAUGGCUAUGAUGAUUUGAAUCUAUUGAUUGAUGGUCGGAUGUUUUGCUUUUUUGUGAGAAUUUGAUUUCUCUCUUUUUCUAGAAUGUCCACCUAGAAAUCCUAGGUGGCUUCACUGGAGGCUUCAAAAGGAGCCUCCAAUUAGUAAUAGAGGACAAAGUUAGUAAAAAAUAGCAGGGACUGAACUACGAGACAUGGACACAGUUAGAUUCAUACCAUGGUUUUUAUAUACUCAGAAAGACAGAACUUGAAAGCGUUGUAGGUGAAUGAGUAUAUGCUUUUUGACAGGACACCUCAUGCAGAUCAUUAGAUCGAAUUCAGUACACUCACAUCAUCAUGUUCCAACAGAAAGACCUCAUGUGUAAUCAUGUGGCUCUCCUAUUUCAAACAUCGAGUUUCAUCAUGGACCAUUUAAGUAGUACAAAAGAUUAAGUUGACAGGGAAAGGCACCUUUUGUGUCCUAAGCGUGGCUCGCUAAUUAAUCUUGUGGUUCUGCUGGAACCAAAAUUUGGAGAAGUGCCUGCCUUUGCCUACCUGCAACGCACUCUUGCUUGUACAUGGAGUUUGUAUAUUCAGUAGGCUUGGUCCGCUGAAGUAGUGAAUGCUCCGGUCACCUAUGGCUGCAGUAUAUGCCAGUAUAUACAUGCGAGGUCCGUGGCCAGUGGGGAGUAUCGCACUAGAUUCAGGCGAGCAGUAAGCUCAUCUGUCAUCAGUGCUCUUGUUGCUUUGCUCCAAAGUCCAACCUCAGCACCUGCUUGGUUGCAGGCCGGCAUGGCAAAACUUGCAGCGCAUCUGAGGGGAAAAAUUAAUCUUUAGUUUUUUAAAUAAUAUUGUUAUAAUGGUAUCACCUAGAACUUAUUGAUCGAUUAUGCCCGUGCAUUAUUCCACACAUGACACAUGGAGGUCGAUAAGAGGCUCAGCACAUGCAUGUUGAGAUCAGGUCGAGGGGAGGUCCUCUUCCAGGCAGCGUGCAUGGAGGAUCCAAGGACCAAGGGUCACAUCAACGAUGAUGUCAUCUAGAGGAGGAAGAUGAGAAGCUAGCUAGUAUCAACCCAUGGAUGGUGAUUCAUUUCUUGUGGACGCCUAUUACUCAUGAUUGAUUUGUUGGAUCUUUCAUAGGUUACCAUCGAGGAUAGGAUAUUUCGGCAUUUGCUUGAGAUAUAUACGCUCAGGGUUCACACAUCCAAAUCUAGUAUGUUUAGACAUUCGAAUUAGAUUUAACAUAUAUGGAACGUCUUAUUGUAAUCGUUUAUUUGGAUCUUUUAGAUUGUUUAUGCGUGAACCGUACUGUCUGUGAGCAUUCGCGUACUUAUACAACUGACAUGCAGUCAGCCAUCACCUUUGUUGGCCACGGCUACGGCACAGUCGUCAGUCAACGAAGCAUCGGUGGGCCUGUCGGGUCGACAAUUGCCUCUCGUGCCAUGCCAACGCAACACAGGCAAGUUCCGUGGAGAGUCAUGGCUCAGUGGUUGCUACUAGCUAGAUCUGCAAUUUCUACAUUUUAUUAGCACCUGUUUCUUUCUGCAAUUGUUUAGCGGUUACGAAACAAUGUUAUUAAAGAAAUCUAGGCCUCUGGCCUUGUCGGCCCAUGGGCCAUGGCAGGCCUGCUGCGCAGCAGCAAGUCAGCAACAUGGAUAUCGAUCAAUUAUUCAGAGGGGCUAGCUACAGGAGUCGGAGGGCGACUUCGAGGCAAUUCCGGAUUCGCCGUCGAGCUGGCCGGCGCCUACCCUUCCGGCGGCGUCCUGACGCCGUAGGGAAGGUGUGCUUGGUCCUCGACGGCGGCUCCUCCGUGGAUUAGCUAGUAUAUUAUAGCUAGUGCUAUCGUAGUUGUCCGAUGGCAUCUACACAGAUGUCCAUUGUUUUAUCCUCCCUCCAGGUGAUCUACGGCAACGACUGCUCCAGCAGCUCGCUCUCUGGUGUUCCCUCUGUGAGGUAUGUCUACCACUUAUCCAAGGAAUCGGGUUGGUGGUGUUCUGCUGUCCGCUUAGGAGGUUCGAUCCCCUUUUGGGUUGUUUCGUCGUCGGAGGUUCUUGCGAUGCAUGCUUGAUGUGUCAGAUUCCAUCACCAUCGGCGAUGCAGGGCCUGUCCGUUCAACGCUUCAAAUGCAUAUCGAGUUUUUGAUAUGUUGUUUGUUGUGCCGUUUAAAAACUACAAAGCUUCUUUGCAAGCUUCUUUGUCGAGAAAGGUGUCGGCUUCAAGCUGCAAACUUGGUGAGUUCCUCUGCUACUUCGUGCAGCGGUGGUUCGUCGAGUGGCCUACCCGAUCGCCGAUGAUGAAAACGACCGGAGACUCUUGCAAGAGCCUGAUUGUAAUUUUUAUUUUCCUCGAGGGUGUUUUUGUGAGGGAUCCAACUGUGUGUGUGUGUGAAAUAAAAACACGGUUCCUCUAAAAAAAAGCAACAUGGAUGGACGCGUUUCAUUUUUGAACGAACAACACAUCUGACAUGGGUGGAGCGAUACAUGUUAACGGAAUCGGCGGAAUGGGAUAACUGGCCAAGUAAUUUUGUUCAUUACAAGCUUGCCCGUCCUCAGUUGAAUAAUCCAAUUAGCCACAAUUUCAUAACUGAAUGUGUAAAUUCUAACAAUGUGUAAAUGGCAAUGACCAGAUAAUUUUUUUUGCAUAAUACGUCACAAACUAUAAUUGUAUAUAUGGAUUUUGCCUUGUGCAGAGAAGAAUCUAUAUUUGUGUGUUUCAGUACAAUAUUGUGACUGAUAAACAAGUUUCUUUACAUCUAUUUAUUAUGAGAGAUUGGAGAGAGAGAGACGGCGAUAUUUCCGACGGUAGAUUUAAUGGCCAGCUUACCUAGCUAUAUGAUCAACCUCUAAUUACAUUUCUUAACAGGAAGCGCAAAAAUUACAUACCAAAGCUUUAAAGAGAGAAUGGCUGGGCGUGCACACACGAAGAAAAAGCAACCUGCAUACAAAAAAUUUUUACAGCAGCCAUGCAGCAGCCCCAACCACGCACAGUGGAUCUCAAUUUUAAAUUGCCUCAACCAGCAUGAUCUGUCAUCUCUAGACUCACCGUUCUCCGAAGAGGAAAUUAAUCAAUCAAUCCUUAGUAUGCCAGGGGAUAAAGCCCCUGGUCCAGACGGGUUUACGGGGCUAUUCCUAAAAUCAUGCUGGAACACCAUAAAACAGGACGUCAUGGCAGCAAUAAAUGCGUUCUACUGUCUCCGAUGCAACAGCCUCCAGCUAAUUAACACAGCUACCAUCAUACUCAUCCCGAAGAAAGAGGGGGCGAAUGUCGUGCAGGACUUCAGGCCUAUAAGCCUCAUUCACUCGUUCAUCAAGAUCAUCACGAAGGCUAUGGCACUGAGAUUACAACCCACAUGAAUGCAAUUGUCUCCAAAUGCCAAAGCGCGUUCAUUAAGACGCGGAGUAUCCAUGACAACUUUAUGAUAGUGCGAAGUACAGCAAGAAGAUAUCGUAGAAACAAAGUGUUGGCUAUUUUCCUCAAAUUGGGCAUCGCUAAAGCCUUCGACUCCAUACGAUGGGACUACCUUCUCCUACUUCUGCGUCACUUGGGAUUCCCCGCUCGCUGGUGCGAUUGGACUGCGACCAUUCUAUCUACUUCUUUCUCACGCGUCCUCCUAAAUGGCGUCCCGAACCCACCAAUAAAACAUGGUCGUGGGUUGAGGCAAGGCGACCCAUUAUCACCGCUGCUAUUCGUUAUAGCGAUCGAUCCCCUACAAAGAAUCCUGCAAUUAGCGACAGAUAUGAACAUCCUUACCAGACUACGCAGAAGGGCGCCCUCAUGCUAUAUUUCGAUGUACGCGGACGAUGCGGCAUUAUUCAUAGCACCAAGAAAAGAGGAAAUUGAUGCACUAACUAACAUCUUGGAAAAUUUUGGGGAAGCAACAGGUCUCAAAAUAAACUUUCUCAAAAUAAACUUCCGCAAAUCGACUAUCGUCCCCAUCUGUUGCGAAGGCGUGCAAUUGAAUGUGGUACUGGAAAAUCUACCGGUGAGGAGGGGAGCCUUCCCGAUCAAAUACCUUGGGCUACCACUGUCCACACUGCGAGUGAAAGUUGUAGAUUUCCAACCCUUGUUAGAUAAGGUCGUGGCCAAGUUAAAUAGUUGGAGUAGUAGAAACAUGACGACAGCUGGGAGACUCACUUUGGUCAAAUCGGUACUAACUGCUCAGCCUGUUUACCUAUUGUCGGCCCUCAAAGCGCCCAAAGAGAUACUAAAGAUUAUCGAUACUAAGCGAAGAAAAUUCCUAUGGGCGGGGACGGAGCCGCUCACAGGCGGCAAAUGCAAAGUGAAUUGGACGCGGUCUGCAAGGCCUAGGAGGAGAGGAGGGCUAGGUGUGUUACACCUCGAAAAAUUCUCCAGGGCCUUGCGGUUACGGUGGCUCUGGCAGGACUGGAUGAACGAUGGAUCUUCCUGGGAGAGCCAGGACAUCCCUUGCUCCCAAACGGACCGCAAACUCUUUGUGGCGGUAACCAAGAUCAUAGUGGGAGACGGCAACAAGAUUUCCUUCUGGGACAGCGGCUGGGUAAGUGGACAAAGACCAAGGGACAUUGCGCCAAAUCUAUAUCAUAUCUCCAGAAGUAAGAACAGGACACUAUAUGAUGCAGUCACAAAUCGCACGUGGAUAAGAGAUUUAAACCUUUUUCAUCAAGGAUUUACUGCCACAUAUUUCACUGAGUACUACCGACUAUGGGUUGAGACCAACCGCCUGCACCUCACGCCAGGUAUCCCAGACACCAUCACAUGGAAAUUCACGCCUAAUGGGAAGUAUAGCACACAAUCAGCAUACAGAGUACAAUUCAUAGGAUCCAUGACAACUAAUCUCGAGAAUCUAAUCUGGAAAAUAUGGGUGCCACCAAAGUGCAAAUUCUUCAGCUGGUUGGCCGUGCAAGAUAGAAUUUGGACAGCGGACAGACUCCAGCAUCGGGGAUGGACCAGUAACCUAACUUGCGCCCUUUGCAGCACGGCGUAGGAGACAGGGUAUCAUCUUUUCGCCGAUUGCAGUUUCACACGGCUAAUUUGGACGGAAAUUAACAUAUGGACGCAAUGCCCUAACGUUGAUCCAAGCCGUUGGGAUAGGCACGACUCUAUACAUAAUUGGUGGAGAGCUACGCUGGCUAGCCCGAUGGUCGGGGGGAAAGGGUUGCGGACCCUCAUUAUCCUCGUUCUUUGGGAGAUCUGGCUAGAGAGAAAUCGGAGGGUCUUCCAACAUAAAGACAAGAUGGUUACCCAGAUAACCGACGACAUCAAGAACCAAGCUGCGAUGUGGAUCGCUGCGGGAGCUAAAUACUUGGGGGACUUUCUCUCAGGAUAGGCGUCCGUUUUGUACUAGUUGUCAUAGCGGAGUUCUGCCUUCCCGUUUUGGGGAUGCGAGUGUACAGCUUGUAUAGUACGUUUGUAUACGACCCAUCAGGUUUUUCCUCUCUUUUAAUAUAGCAGGAGCUCUCCUGCUGGCUCGUUUCAAAAAAAAAACUUGGUAGUAAUUAAGCUCUACGCUCAUCUUUCUUUACUGCUUUGCUACAAAGUACUUGAUCCCCGGCCGCGCUCAAAACUUCUGCAGAAAUGGAAGAAGAGAACCACUGUGUUGUGCAGCUUCUAGUUUUACAGUAUAGAGACCUUACUCUUUUUCUUUCAUGCAAUAUGUUACGCUUGUUUGGGAUGAUGAAUUGAUGAUGAGUUGACAUAACAGAUACAGCCUGCUCCUUGCAAUGCCAAAGACGUCGUGCUCGUCCACAGGCCACAAGCUAUACCUCCACUAUUUAAACAAAGAAUAAGAUGCCUUCAUUCUCGUGUCCUGGAGAGCUACCACUAAAUUUGUUCGGAUAGAAAACCAAAAUUCAGGACCUAUAUAUCACAAAUUAAAACAUUCCAUCUUGUGAUUUACUUAACCAUGCAUAGCUCCUAAUACCACGUAGAGCUGUGAACAUAUUGUCUCACUACUACAGUAUCUUUGUAGCAUUCUUGUCAUAAUGAGUUGCCGCUUGCACGCUUAGUGAAAAAGAAUUGGUUGUUGCAACAAAUUCCUAGAAUAAUGCCUAUUUAUAACGGGACCGACCAGAUCUCUCCAUUGAAGGCAAAAUAAAUCCAUGCCAAUGCUCAAAUGUGAUGAAUCCUAACGCAGAGCCUUUGCUAGCGCGACUGGAAGGUUCAAGCUUUCUCAUUCUGUCAUUCACAUAUGUAAUAAAAAAGAAUUGAAGAAGAAAGUUAACAUCGAACUGGAGACUCGUGAUGAGCAUGUUAGCUAGCUAGAUGGACCAUCUCAUGUCAUGCCCACUCCAUUUCAAACUCUAGAUGGUGUGGGUACCUUUACUUAGAGCAUCCAGUUCAUCCAAGUAGUAUGCCUUUCACGUACACCUGAGAGAUGAGGCUCUUCACCUUAGUCACAUGAUCUUCUGUUUACUGCACACCAUUUUCACCACCUUUUUCCCCUUCCCUUCCCAUCCAUAUGUUCUUGGUUUCUCCCUGUUUAGCACCAAACCUCACAUCUCUGCAAAAAGAAGAAGAUACACAUAUUUACCUAACCUUCUCUCUAAGUUGCAUUGCAUCAGCCACUACACGGCCAUCGCACAUCGUUAAUCCGUAGCGACGACCGAGAGGAAGGUACCCUCCUUACAUUUUGUUCCUUCUCCUUCCUCGAGCAUUUUUUCCUCGAAUGAAUGAAUUCGUCGGAGCACUUUCCACUUCAUCGCCCACUGUCGCUCCUCAACACCAUGGCCAUCUACCGCGCUACCACCAACCACUUCUGCCACCCCCACGACCAAUGGCACCUCCGCUACCGAACUCGGCACCUCGCCACCCACCAAACUACUCUAGUGUCCUCCUCCCCCAUCGCUGGCACAGGCCACUAGGCGCGUCCUUGCCGCCCGGCAACCUGCCACCACCACCACCAGCAGCACCCACCGCGCCCCAGGCUCCCACUCUAGUCUACGAAAUCAACCUCUAUAACCCUCCAACCUCUCGGAUACCCUAACCCCUCUCUUCUUCUGAUGUUGCAUGCUUCCGGCAGCAUCACGACAAUGCGAUGCGUCUAGGAAUUGGUACUGCAUGGCCUCACACAAUCAAAGGACAAAGGUCAUAUUUGUCCCCAUGUGCACGCAAGACUCUUCACGUACGUACCUGCAUGAUUUUCUAUGCAUUACGUUACAACUCACGCAUUUUUUACCGCUUCCCCUCCUUUCCCCAUCCUAUCCGCUGAAUUCACCCCCUCUAGCACCAAACCCUACCCUUAGCAUUUCCCUCUCAAGAAAAAGCACACCAUUACCGUGCCCGUUCGAUGCAGAUAGGAGGGCGUAGGCCGUGCCCGGCCUCAUCAGCAAUACAGAGUUACAGACACUGACCAGUGGGACCCAUCCCAUCAGUUUUGAAAAGGGAAAGAAAAAAGUGGGGAGAGAAGCCAGACACACGGAACGAAGCGUCCAGGCCCCUAGCGGCGUUCGGACUGGCAGAGGAAGGAAAGCCCCCCACCAACCCAAGCCACGGCCGCCACCCGGCAGCCACAGCGCGAACCUCCGAGCUGCCGCCCACACACAGCCCACUGUGCUGAUGCCUCCCCUGCACUUGUUGUAGACUUGUAGUGCAAUAAAGCAGCGGAGUGAGAGAAACCCCCACGCCCCCUGCGCGUUUCGGUCUCGCCUCGGCCGCAACGCAACGAGGAAAACCCCAACCCCCCGGCGCCGUCGCCCACGCCCCCGCCCCCGCCCCCGCCGGCGCGCCGUAGGGUUUCCGUCCCCCCCCCCCCCCCAUCGCCUCGCCGACGGCGAUCACCGGCGCGCAAGGUACGCGCCUCUCUCCGCCCCGGCCCGUUCCGCCCCCCAUUUCCGCGCUUCGUUGUCACGCCUCGUUCCGCGCCGCCGCCAUUCGCGCAGGGCAGGGGCAUUGUGGCGCUUCCUCUGCUCCUGGCCCCGGAACGCUCGCCCGCCCUCUCCGCGCGGGCGGGGCUCGCUUCUCCCGGAAAAAAAGGCCGCCUUUUUUUGGGUUCUUUGUUUGGUUCGCGGCGAGGGCUUUGUGAGCCCGUGCGCCCCCGCUGCCAUCAGCGCGUGGUGGUUCUUGGUUUUGCGAGCCUUGUCGUGGGCUCAAAGGGGACGCUGGGUCACUCCGCCCCUGCUCUUGUGCUUGUGCCCGUCUGAUGUCCAGGGUUGGGUUUCGUGCUUCUACUGGUGCGGGCGGCGGCGAAUUCUUGGGGUUUUGAUGGCGGCGCCGUGAUCGCGGAUUGCGACGUGGGUUUUGGGGGGCCUCGUUUGGGUGGGGAUCCCCCGUUUGGAUUUCUAUUUCUGGUUCCCACGGUGAUGCAGGGUUGUGUGAUGUGUGGUGGACCUGCCUGCACGAAUCGCGAUAAGAAAAAGACUGCCGGGGGGGUGGGGGGGGUGGGGGACUGUUGUAAUAAAUUGUUGAUUCUUUUGCUCGAUUGCUGUGCCAGAAAGGUGCUCCGUUUCGAUGGAAUUCUGUGAAAUGGAUGCCCGAUAUAUCAUUGCAUUUUCGAUUCUUUAAAGGUUGUGUUUUUGCGCACGUGGUUGUCUGAGAAAUAUAUGUGAUUUCUGAUUUGGGUGCUUCUUGCUGAAUGCCUAGUGGAGGCCUGGGUGCACAUCUCAUACUAAAUUAUCCUCUGACUCAGAAACUGUUGAAGGUCGUUCUGUUGCAGGAUUGCGUCUGCCUCAAAUAUUGUUUGUGAUUUUGUUGCUUGUGGCAGAAUGCCAUGUGGAUGAACAUGCUCUGCUUUCUGAUCUUCUGAUUUUAUGAUUACACAUUUCUGUUAUGACUUUGCUGACUACUCUGUUUCCCUUUCCAUUGUAAAGGCCGGGGUUUUGUUGACAGUGAGUGGCGGCUGCCUGUUGUUUGGCGAUGGGGAAACUGCAAGCGGAUGGUGAUCAAUCACCUGAUGUCGCAGAUAUUGACAUGAUGGAUUUCCUGAAUUUGGAUGGCGAUGGAGAAGGUGACUCCCCCAGAAAGGACAGCACAAAAGGGGACCGGCAGCCUUCUGUCGAUGCUGAUGUGGAUCAGUUUGCCAUGGAUGUAGAUUUGGAAGGACUGCCAUCUGUGCAAGAUCAAGGGAAAGAAAAGCAGUCUGCUGCUAUGGAUGUCGAUAUAACAGGAAUACCACCUGUGGAAGAUGAAAGGCAGUCUUCUCUAGACCUAAGCACGUUAGUCCCAGUUGACUUCAAUGUUGCAAGCCUGGAGAAAUUUUGCAAUGAAGCGUCAAGAUCAUUCUUCAGUGAGACUGGACUGGUUAGCCACCAGAUAAAUUCGUAUAACGAUUUUGUCUCUCAUGGGCUCCAGGAUCUCCUUGAUUCUUUUGGGGAAGUUACUGUAGAGCCUGAUUAUGACCCUUCAAAUAAACCUUCAAAUAAAGAUGGUGCUUGGAAACAUGCAACUAUCAAAUUUGGUAAAGUUAAACUUGAGGAGCCAGUGUUCAGGGUUGAAAACAGUGAUCUUGAAGUGCAAGAUCUCAAGUUGAAGCCUAGACAUGCUCUCCUCCAGAAGAUGACAUAUUCAUCCAGGAUGAAUGUAGAAAUAACUGUUCAGGUCAGGAUGCUCCUAGUUCCCCUGUUCAUGUUACAUAUCAAGUAACAAAGUAGGGGUGAAGUACAUUGUACUUGGUUGGAAAGAACUUCACUAUAAAGAAAUGGAAAUGAAAUAUUAUGUCAUAGAAAGUUCAAAAAAAUCAUUCCAGCCAUUCCAAAUAGCUAUCUUAUUUUCAUCACUAGUAUGGAUGUUAGUGUAAUGAUUUCAGCAAUUCUGGAAUUGCAUUUUUUUUAAUUUCACAAAUGGCAUGGAAGUUAGCAAGGCUAAGCUCCUUCUGGAGCUCAUGUUUAACUUUGCUUUUAAUGGCACAACAGCCAUAACAAUGUCAAUUAUGAUUUCCCCAUUACCUUGCCUGCAAAACUUAUAUAGACUCUGCAUUGGGUGUUGCUACUGCACUAUAUCUUGGCAUUCUAUUUGUAGUAUGGCCAUGUUGAACUUAAGGAAACAAAACCACUUAGUUUCCUCUCUUUGUGUCCUGAGCAGCAUAUGUGAUUUAAAAUUACUCUCAUAUGUAUUCAAGUUAUAACCUUGAUAUUUGUAUCAAUAAGAUUUUAGCUGAUAUUUUACCACCUGAUCAGUUAGUGUUUUGUCUUUAUCAGGUUUAUACAGUCGACAAAAUUGAUAAAGCCAAAACUGGUAAUGCUAUGCAUGUUUCUAGAAGAGAUAUAAUGAAAGAAACUAAACAGGUCAGCAUUGGAAUGUUACCCGUCAUGGUGAAGUCAAAUUUGUGCUGGCUGCAUAAACUUCAGGAAAGUGAGUGUCAGUUUGAUUCUGGUGGCUACUUUUUGAUCAAAGGGACGGAAAAGGUACUGCCUCACAUGAUCCGUUCUGUUCGUUGAGUUCUCAGAAAAUGCAUUCACAAAGAUCGUUACAUUAUGCAUUCUUAUGGAUUUCAAUGGCACUUUGAAUAUAAUAUAUGUCAGGUGAGACGUGCAAUAUAAAAUAUAUUUAGAAGGAGUGAAGAACAUAAAAAGUUUAUCACUCAUAUAAUAUGAGCGACUACUCUUUAUGGUGUUGCUAUGCAAUUGCACUAAAUGUAUAGUACAUUGAUCACCUUUCCUGAAUAGUUUAAGCUUCGGCCUUUCGUGAACUUGUUAGUGCAUGAAACUUAAUAUGAUGCCAGAGCCAAAGGCCUUGCAUUUGAGACCUGGCUGUUGCGAUUUUCACAAAAGGUAACUGCAGCUCACUUCUAUCUAGUCCGCACCAUAGGCUUGAGUGAACCUAACCAAGAGGGAAGUUAAGUAUAUUUGCUUACCUUUCCCAAUACUUAAGGGAAGGUAGGCUGGAAGGGAUAGAUGAGUGGAGACUGUCCCAUUCCAUACAUAUGUUUCGUGAAAAAUUCAGUUUAACUUAAAUGGAACUUGUGAAUUCCUGGUAAGUGUUGAUACAUACUGUAAGCAUAGCGCGAAGUUCAACUGAAAUAUUUAUGUUGUAGCCUAGUAGAUCAAUGAACCAUAGUUAUGCGUGGAAAUUAUACUUGACAAGAAAUUGUGAAACUGACAUUAGCAUUGAAGAUUAGAAAGUUGUUACCUAUGUGAUUUUAAUUAUUAAAAAUGUUUGAUACCUCAUUAUGUUUGAUUUCUUCCAAUUCUGUAGGUAUUCAUUGCUGAAGAGCAGAGAUGUUUAUCCAGGAUUUGGAUCUCAGAUCGACCCAGCUUGGAUGCAAGUUACCUGAGUGUAAUCAAACGAGAAAAGAUCCAUGUAAAACUUGUUCAGUCUAAAAGGAAUGAAAACCGCAAAGUCAUCAACAUUUCCUUUCUGGGUGCGGUUAUGCCAAUCUGGGUAGUGUUUUUUGCACUAGGUGUGUCAUCAGAUAAGGAAGCUUUUGAUAUGAUUGAUAUACAGGACUGUGAUGCUUCUUUGCUCAACAUAAUAUCAUCAACUGUGAAAGAAUCUCAUGAAGAAUGUGAAGGCUUUCGCGCUCCCGGUAGAGCUCGUCAGUAUGUUGAUAAGCUGAUCAGAAAAACAAAGUUUCCACCAGAAGAAUCCUUUGAUGAAUAUGUUUCCAAGUAUAUGUUUCCUGAUGUCAAAGGGACUAGGAGCAAGGCAAUUUUCUUGGGCUACAUGGUCAAAUGCCUGCUAAUGGCUUACUCUGGCAAUCGAAAAUGUGAUAAUAAGGAUGAUUUCCGUAACAAGAGGCUAGAUCUUGCCUGCCAGUUGCUUCGGAGAGAAAUCUGGUUGCAUAUUAAUUCUAUACAAAGACGCAUGGUUAAGCUCAUGCAGAGAGAUUUGAGCUCUGAUGGGAACUUACAAGAUCUUAGGCGUUAUGUGGAUGCAUCAAUUGUUACCAAUGGUUUGAACCGGGCUUUCUCCACUGGUUCCUGGCGGCAUCCUUAUAAAUCAGAAAGGUGUUCAGGGGUUGUAGCAACCCUUCGGAGAGCAAAUCCACUUCAAAUGAUGUCUGACUUGAGGAAGACUCGACAGUGGUUUGCAUAUUCUGGAACAACUGGAGAUGCGAGAUAUCCGUAAGUUUCCUGUGUCCUUCCUACAAUAUUCGAUGCAUACCUUCUCUCUACCUUUCCUAAUAUCCCCGUGCAAACUGACUUUCCUUUUGCAGGAAUCCAUCCUACUGGGGAAAAUUGUGUUUUUUGUCCACCCCUGAUGGUGAAAAAUGUGGAUUCGUGAAAAACCUUGCUGUUACUGCUAUGGUUAGCUCUGCAGUGAAGAAACAACUGUGCAUUGAUACAUUUGUUUCUUGUGGAAUGAAGAAACUGGAUGAUAAAAUUCCUCUACAAGAUAUUUCUGGGAAAGACAGGAUUUUCUUGAAUGGGAACCUGCUUGGAGUGUGUGCAGACCCAGGCGAUUUGGUUUCACGUUUAAGAAGCUUGAGGCGUAGCAAACUAAUUGAGCCACAGGUUGCUUAGUUUCCAGAUCUUCUAAACUGAUUCUCAAUAUCUCAGUUUUCAGAUACCGGAUCAUGUUUUGCUUCCAUUCAUGAUGUUUGAAAACUUUCUCUGAAACCUUGUGUUGUCAUGGCUCACAAGUCCUGCCAUGAUAGGUUUUGCCGCUUAAUAAGUCCUUGAAUACUGAAAAUUAUUUCUUCGGUAUAGUUGUGCUCCUUCAUCAUCUCUGCUGACUUAAAAUUUGCGAAGAAUAUUAACAGCUAACCUUUGAAAUUGUAUGUAUUUUAACUAUCUCGUGAUGAGUCAUUGGUACUAUUCCAGUCUUCUCUUGCUUGUUAGUUUUCCUUUACCUGGUACUUCUGAAAUUUCAUGCUAAUGAAAUUAUGAACUUCUCUUGCUUUAUUUCCUUAUUAUGCAUUUGGCAUAUGGUUGUUUUGUUACAUGUACUAUUUCUACUUGAGUGGAAUACUUAAAAGUACAUAUGUUGCAACAAGAUGAUACUAAUAUGGUUCUUUUUUCUAUUUUCUUUUUUUUUUUACUUUGAUUAGGUUGAAAUCAAAAGGGAUAGGCACCACAAAGAAAUUCGUGUAUUUUCUGAUCCCGGGAGAAUUCUAAGACCACUUCUUGUAGUUGAAAAUCUAAGAAGAAUCACAAGACCCAAAGCUGGAUUGUACUCAUUUCAGGAACUUAUGCAUCAAAAUAUAAUUGAGCUGAUUGGUGUUGAAGAAGAGGAGGAUAUCCGAUGUGCUCCUGGAAUUAGGCAUCUAUUCACAAGGGAGAAAGAAGAGGGGCCUUCUGACUAUACUCAUUGUGAACUUGAUCCUUCUUUCUUGCUGGGGUUGAGUUGCAGUCUCAUUCCCUUUGCCAACCAUGAUAAUGCUAGGAGGGUUCUGAUGCAAGCAGAAAAAUUAUCGCAGCAGGCUAUUGGCUACUUGCCUACAAACUCACGCUCUAGAUUUGAUACCCUCUCACAAAUCUUCUAUCCACAGAGACCUUUGUUUAAAACUGUGGUGGCAGACUGUCUUGGAAAGCCAGACUACAGCUUUGGACGAAAAGGUGACUUUACUACACCAGAAUAUUUCAAUGGUCAAAACGCAAUAGUCUCCGUCAACGUUCAUCAGGGAUUUAACCAAGAAGAUUCUCUGGUUUUGAAUAGGGCCUCUCUAGAGCGUGGCAUGUUUCGUACACUACAUUUCAAGAGCUAUAAAGCCCAUGUCGAAAACAAAGAGAUCACCAGACGACUCAAACACAAGGAAAAGAUCAGUUUUGGUAAAGUGCAAAGCAAGAGGGGGAAGGUUGACAGUCUGGACAAUGAGGGUUUACCAUAUGUUGGAGCAAGUCUUCAAAGUGGUGACAUUGUCAUUGGGAAGGUCACAGAAUCUGGUGAAGAUCAUAGUCUUAAACUGAUGCAUACUGAGAAAGGGAUGGUAGAGAAGGUACUUCUCUCAGCAAAUGAUGAUGGGAUGAACUUUGCAACUGUUACUCUAAGACAGGUGAGUAAUAUAAAUCUUUGCAAAAGUAUUCUGCAUUGUUUCUUGUGGCCCUUGUUUGCAUGCAGUGGCAUUCACCUUACACUUACAGUACAGUAGAGCAUGAAAUUCUCUGCUACCUGGCUGGCUUGCCUUAUCUAAACAAUAAUUUCAGAAAAAAUCUUUAUUAUAGGUGGUCUACAUUUUUUUGUCUGGAUUAUUUAGUGCUCUGAUAUCACCUCAGCUGUCGAUACUACAUAAAGCAUUUCUUUUUUCUUUUGCACCAUUUAAUAAUGCUUAUGCUAUUACGCUACAAAACUUUGUAUUUAAUGCCCACAUGUCUAGUGAUUUAUCUGAUAAUUUUUGUAGUCUCGUUCACCAUGCGUCGGAGACAAGUUUGCCAGCAUGCAUGGGCAGAAAGGAGUGGUUGGCCUAUUGGACUCUCAGGAGAACUUCCCAUUUACUUGCCAAGGGAUAGUUCCGGACAUCGUCAUAAACCCACAUGGCUUUCCAACUCGUCAAACUCCUGGCCAGUUGCUUGAAGCUGCUUUGGGGAAGGGGAUUGCCCUGGGUGGGAAGGUGAGAUAUGCGACACCGUUCACCACUCCAUCCGUGGACGUGAUCACUGAACAGUUACACAAGUAAGCUUUAUUUCAGACACGAUUCUUUUCUUAAAUUCACGUUUUGCGCUCUUGCACAUGUGAAAAUUGACAGCAUACUAGUAGCUGAUUGCGCAGCGUGACAUUUUCAGUGUCACCAUAAUUGCAAGUCCUUAUUUUUCCCUCACAACAAACUAUAAGAACAAGCAAUGCAUUCCCGUGAUAUAUUCAUCGAGGGAACGCGACAGAAGAAAUGCAGACAUGAGGCUUGUUACUGUUAGCCAUUUGAACACUCUUCUUGAGUUUUGUUCAUGUUUAUCUUGCUGUAUUUCAGGGCCGGUUUUUCAAUGUGGGGUGGAGAGAGCGUCCUGAACGGGCAGACCGGUGAGCGGAUGAAAUCACUGGUCUUCAUCGGGCCGACGUUCUACCAGAGGCUCAUCCACAUGUCCGAGGACAAGGUGAAGUUCCGCAACACAGGACCUGUGCACCCGCUCACGCGGCAGCCGGUGGAGGACAAGAAGCGGUUCGGUGGCGUCAAGUUUGGGGAGAUGGAGCGAGACUGCCUCCUUGGCCACGGUGCUGCUGCCAGCCUCCACGAGCGCCUGUUCAUGCUAAGCGACUUCUCACAGAUGCACAUCUGCCAGGCCUGCGAGCGCGUGGCCAACGUUAUCAUGCGCCCCGACGACUGUGGCAAGAAGGUGCACGGCCCCUACUGCCUCUUCUGCCGGUCCGCAGAGCGCAUCGUCCGAAUCAAUGUGCCUUAUGGAGCCAAGCUGCUGUACCAGGAGCUCUUCAGCAUGGGAAUCUGCCUCAAGUUUGAGACCGAGGUCCGCUAGAACGCCAUUGAUCAGUAUCAUAUCUCUUGAAACUGUAAAACUGCAUAUGUAAGCUUCGUUGCCUAGGAUAUUGUUGAUUCUAAAGUCGAUUGAAGUUGGAUCGUAUGUGGAUGGCUAAUGUUGAGACCUGCGCUUUCUUCAAAAAAAAAAAUGUUGAGACCUGCGAUUCGCGUUACGAUUUCGUGAUAUUUAGACCAGAUUCAGGAACUGUCGUGAAAUGGAAUUUGGCAUCCUUGUUUGUGAUGUGGAUAUGUGCUACAGGAAUUUCUGUUCUUGCAGCCUGGAGCCUGUGAAGCUUCACAUGAGAUCCAUGCGUCAUUUAUCUGAUUUUCACAUCCAUGUUGCAAUAGCAGUAGGUGACUGCAUGUGUCAUUGCCAAAAAGAAAAAAAAUAGCGGUCUGAAAACGUGCUGAUUCCUGUGGUAUGUGAAGUUGCCGCAAUUUAGAUGUAUGAGAACCGAGAAGUAACUCAAGGGCACAGCCAUACUUGUAUAAGUGAAAUUGGCACUACCUGUGCAUUCUCCUAACUUCGACAAUUUGCCAAAAGAGGUGUAGGCUUGUUAAUAUAGCUUUGAGUUUUCAUUGAAAAAUAGGAGUAACAUGCAAGCGACUAUGUGAAUGCCUGUGUUUGACAUCUUGCAAAAUAUCUAUAAGAACCAUAAUUUUGCACUAUUACAUGAAGAUGCUUCUUAUUGGCAAAUCUACUUUUAUCAAUAAUAUCCAGUAUUCUAGUCACAAACAAGCAAUGGUUUGCCUCUUUUGGUAUUAUUUUGGACUAAAAUAUUAACUUUGAACACUAUUUCACCUAUGUUUACAAAAUGUAUAAAAAUUUUGUCAAUAUAUGAAAGUAUUUUUUAUAGAUUAUAUUUGUUUAACAUUUGCAUUCACUACAAGAAACUAUUUAAUCUGUGACGGAACAAAUUUGUCACAUAUCACUGAAAAACCGUCAUAAAGCAUUGUCUGUGACGGUUUUAGAUAACGUCAUGUAUUGAGCGUCACAAUCUAUGACGUUUGUUAACCAUCAUAAAACGCCUUUAGGCCCACGUAGCCCAACCCAAGCCCAAUGUUAAUGACGAAAAUAAAUGUCAUAGAUGGUUGAUUCACCCAUAAGUGACAUGGACAUAGCGACUGACAUGGCUAGUGACAUGGAUAAUGAUGAUGAUAUGGCUGCUGACAUAGCUAAUGACGUGGCUGGUAACGAUGACGUGGGCAAUGACAUGGCUGAUGAUGUGGCAGGUGCCAAUGACGUGGACAAUGACGUGGGUGCUGAUGUGGACAAUGAUGUUUCAUUCGCGGCCAUUUUAGAACUGAGCCACUAAGAUGAGCCAAUUCCAGGCCAAUUUUCCAGCCCAUUGACCAAUAUAGCUCAGAAGACAUUCAAAAUUUAUCAACCAUUUUACCAGAAUUACAGCUUCAAAUCACAAGAAUUACAGCUUCAAAUUAGAUACAAUCUCAGAUUUACAUUCAUGGUAAUAGAAAUAGCAAAUUAUCAAAUUACAUUCAUGCUUCAUCUUUGGUUCCAGAAACAACACCCGCUAGCACUUUGGUUCCAGAAACAGCAGAAAAAGAAGCUGAAAUUCACAAAGAGAAGCAUGCAUUAGAAUGGUAAAAACACUGAAUUCUGAAUAAAGAAAGUGCACGGCCAGAUCAACACAAGUUCAAACAAAGGAGUAUGCAUGAUAAUAAUCAUAAUAUAAAUGUCUAAAUAAAGACGGAACAGUCUAACUACCAUAUCGAUGAUCAGAAUAUGGUCACAAUCAGAGCAGAAAAAAUAAACAAACCAAACAAAAAAGACAGUUCCUGCAAGAAGACAGUUCUUGCAACAAGUUGCUGGUUCAAUUUGACAACAGGACAUCAGAAGGAGUAUGGAAAACUAUGACGAUAGAACAGUAAUAAAUAUAUACUACUAUUAUUAAAUAAGCAAAUUGCUCUUCAGUGAUUGCACUAGAUGUGACCCUGGCCGAUAAUUAUGAUAAAAAUUUUAGCUUUAACUUACACAUUGAAAAGCUACGCUUUCUUCUUUUGAUGGGCUUUAUAGCCCAUCCAUGGUGAAGAGCAAACACCUGAGCAUAAGCUACUGAUGCUGCAUCACUAAGCAAGUUGCCCCUGAAAUAAUAAUACCACAAGUGAUCACAGUCAGUCUCUAAAUGCUCAUGCAAGGAAAACAAACAUGACAGUUAACUAGACAAAUAUACUAAUUACUGUAACAAGUAGAAAGGAAAAACAUUCAUGAAUAUUCAACCUAAAUAUUCAUGAAUAAUAUAUAUAUAUAUAUAUAUAUUGUUAAAUAUAACUGCAUACAUUCUAGAACAUCACUAAACUUCUACUCAUAAGUUGUAGAAUUUAGUGAUGGAUACAAGAUUGAAGACCUAAAUAUUUUACAUGGCUUCAUCCUAUAGUACCUCAUAUGCUUUUUCAAAAGGCCAAGUUUUCUAAAACCAUUCAAGAAUCUCAAUGAAUUUCCACUUAUACUCCUGUCUCCUCCCAAAUAAUAUGUAAUGAUAUAUGGGAAUUUUUUGGCCUUUAGACUUUGUAACUCAAUUUCCUUUCUUGUGAUACCUCUUAUAAAUAUCCGAUUACAAGGGGAUAUGCUUUGUUGGGUCUUACACCUAAUAGAUAUGGUGGAUCUAAAGUAUGAUACAUUUGCAUAUGAAUCAACAGCUUUCCUAAUUUGAAGCUUUGUAUAUGAAUCAAUUGAAUCUAAAAAUCAGGUUGAAUGUCCUGAAUUUGAAAGUUUGUUUGGAUUUCAACUAAGGUAUCAUUAUCAUGGAUGUAAAUUAGAAGUGUGUUAAAAAUUAGCUCUAAAUGGAUCUUUUGCUAUAUAGCACGAAUAUGAGUUGUUUUGAUUUUUUUUCUUUGACUCAUAAGUGAUAUCCAUGUUUAUAGUUUGCAGUGGGCACUCAUUGAGGAUUUAGUGCUCUCUUGUUGGACUAACAUAUGGUCCAAGGACGUACAUGAUGUCAGCUAGACUUGAGUGAGUCUCAAAUUCGUAACCUUGGACUACUUUUCUUUUCUCUAUGCACCCUUGUAAAAUGGUAAAGUAAAUACAUUGUCAUUUCCCCAUUGUAAGACUUGAGUCAUGGGUUCUCAACACGUUAAUAAAGUACAUCUUGUAGGACUUUUAUACACCUUGAGUAAAGUGAUUACAUAAUCAUUUCCUAAAUGGUAUAGUUGCCUUUUUGGUUUCUAGAUGAGUUGUAGAAUUGCUCCACCGAAGACCUACUAUACAUAACAUCCCUAAAAUUGGCAGUGUUUAAAUAUUAAUAAAUAUAUUAAACCUUGGUUAAUAAAACCUCUUCAUUUUCCAUUUCUCCAAUUCAAAAUUAGCUAAGGCAUUAUAAUAAAUUAUCCGAUUCUUAGUUGUCAAAAUCAAUACAAAUUAAACGCAUCCUCCUAAACGAACAGCCCUAUACAUUUCCUCUAAAGAAAUGUACAACUUAAUUAAGUAUAUAGGUGAAUAUUAGGUUCAAAUCCUUAUCACAAUCCGUCCCGUAUUAUUCAUCCUUAAAGAUGAAUUUACUUCUGUAUUCCCUCUCUACCCAAAUAAUAUGUAUUUGUAUAUGGGAAAUAUUAGCCUUUAGAGUCUAGACUUUAGUAACUUUCAUUCUUGUGGACGCCUAUUAUGCAUGAUUGAUUUUCGUGCCUAUGAUUUGUCGGAUCUUGCAUCAAAUAGGUAUGAUGGAACUAUGGUAUGAUUCUUUUGAAAGGGAGUUUCCUGAUUUGAAGCUUUUGUUUACGAAUCAGUUGCUUUUAAUCUUUGGGUUGAAGGUACUAAAUCUGAAAACUUGCUAGGAUUCAACUAACAUAGAUCUCAAUUUGAAGCUUUAUGAACAUCGUCUCCAAAUCAUGAAUAUGAACUGAAAGCUUGUUUCCUUGUCAUUUAUGAGUCUUAGAAUUGACUUUUUUUAACUUUAGGGGAGUCAAAAUAAUGUAUGACUAUCUUGAUCUGGAGGGGUGGUUGGUUUUUGAAAUUGUGGUCACAAGUGACGUCUAAGGUCUUUGUAUUGGGGUGGACGCGCGUUGAGUAUUUAAGGCGAUGUUACGGAUACGUGCUUCAAAUUUAAAUGUGCUCUUGUCCGACUAGCAUAUGGUCCGAAGACCUACAUGUCCAGUAAAAUUCAAGUCCCAUAUUCAUAACUCGUUGAUAGAUCAUGUACAACUUUUUCCCACUUUAAACCUUCACAAAAAAGGGUAAAUGAAACAUGUAGUCAUUAUCAUGAGUUAGUUGUAUCGUCGCCUUUCGAAUUGCUAGGUCAGUUUCAUGUUUUUUCUUCCUAAAAACACAAGAAAUGAUCAAACUUUUGGGAGUGUUUUUCAUUUUCUCCCAUUCAAAACGAGCUAACAAAAUUUCUACCAAGUUUUCCUAUGCUGCAAAAAAGUGUAAAAUUAAAUGCAUCCUCCUAAUUAAGCAACAGCUCUACACAUGCAAAUUCUCAUCAUAAUUCAUCUCAUGCAUACCAUCCUUCACCAGUUCAUCAUCAUCACCUCCUAUAUUUACUCACCCAUUUCCUUCACAAACUCACCCGUGCACGUGUUGGUUUGGUUUGGGUGCCGAGGCGAGGAGCCAACCACGUGCGUGCGCGCGUGCGUCGGCUUCGCGUCCGGCCAUGGGGUGCUCCAGCUCGAGGGAGGCGCGCGGCGGCGUGGUGUCGCCGACGGCGGCGCCGGCGGAGCGGCAGCAGGGCCUGCGCUCGCGCUCCCUGACGAGCCGCGCCGCCUUGGCGCUGACCGCCGUCGGCAUGUGCCGCGGCGGGCACGACGGCGUGCGUGCCUACGCCCCGCUGCCGUCCGAGGAGGCGGCGAAGGGCGCCAGUGACCCGGCCGCGGCUGAGGAGGCGCUUCCCGGCGAGGGUGCGGCGGCGGCGGAGGAGGACCAGCGGGACGACGCGGCCAGCACGCCGGCGGCGGUCAUGGUCAGCGUGGAGGACGCCGCGUCGGUGACGUCGUCGUGGACGGCGCAAUGGAGCGCAGAGCCUGCGCCGUCUCUGCCGCCGGCGCUUGACCUUGACCCGGCUAUCUUGCCUGGCUUCGGGCAGCCGGUGGUGGUGCCGUCGCCCUCGCACCCGGCGCUUCUCUACCCCGAGCAGGAGAAUCCAGCACCGCCGCCGCAGGAGACGACGGAGGAGACCUGCGACGUCGACAUGGGAACGCCGCCCGCCCGCGACAUACCUGAGGUCACCGGCUUUGUCCGCGCACGCGUGGACGAGUUCCAUGAAAAGAUGGAGAAGAAGAAGGCGGCGACCGCGGCCGCAGACGAAGCCCCCGGCUUCUUCGGCGACGGCGACGACUUGACGGUGCCAAGGCUCCGUCCGCCGCUGCGCGCGGGGAAGCCCGUGGUGCUCUACUUCACCAGCCUCCGCAGCGUCCGCCGGACGUUCGAGGACUGCCGCGCCGUGCGCGCCAUCCUGCGCUGCUACCGCGUGCGCCUGGACGAGCGCGACGUGUCCAUGCACGCCGCCUUCAAGUCCGAGCUGCGCGGCCUCCUCCUCGCCGGCGGCGGCGAGGGCGCCGCGCUCCCGCGCGUGUUCAUCGGCGGGGUCCACGACCUGGGCGGCGCCGAGGACGUGCGCGCGCUGCACGAGGCCGGCGAGCUCGCGCGCGCGCUGGCCGGGUGCGACGCCGCGCCGGCGGCGGGCAGGCCCGGGCACGUCGGCGCGUGCGCGGCGUGCGGCGAGGCGCGGUUCGUGCCCUGCGGGACGUGCCACGGCAGCUGCAAGGUCUUCGUCGACGACGAGGGGUGCCGCUUCGCCGGCUUCUUCCGGCAGUGCCCCGACUGCAACGAGAAUGGGCUGAUCCGUUGCCCCGUGUGUUGUUAUUGACUGUUCUAGUGUUCUUCCAUAGGUUGCAGUGUUAUGAUCGGAAAGAGAUGGUAGGUUGCUGCAGUGUUUACGAGGAUGCUUGUUCGUAGUUGGUGAUCAGUUCUAGUUGGGUGUAAAAUUAGAGCCAAGAAGGUGCCUCAGGCGUGGAAUUGAUGCUUGUCCUCUUAGGUUUUGUUCCAGUUCUUCGUUAGGACUUGUUCGGUUAACGAGAUUAAAUCCCGUAUUCAUAGAGCGUGAAAUUUAACGGUUAUCUCGAAUAUAUGGAUUGAUUUGAAAGUCCUUUAUCCAUAGAUGGCAUCCAGGUCGUGCGUAUUAAAAAUCAAUCCUAACAAAUGCCACGUGCUAAGCUUACCAAAUUUUCUCGAGACCGAUUUUGAGGGCUCACCACGGAAAAAUAUUUUGUAUGGUUUUCAUCUUACUCUCUCGUUCUCUCCCUAAAUUUAAGAUUUGCCCCUAAUACGCCACAAUUUUUACACGUGCUGUCCUAAUCAUGCCCCUAGUUAGAAAGAAAAUAGGCUAUACUUCCACUUUCUCUUUGUUGCCUAUUGGAUUGUCGCCUGUUAAUGGUAGGUACAUGAUAGAGGUAGAUGAGGCAUUACUUUGGCUAUAUAGAGAGCGAGUACCCUAUCCCAUUGACCCCCACCCCCUCCCCGUGCACCCUUCCUCUCUCUCUCUCUCAUAUUUCCAUGGCGUAAUGGUGGGAUAAUGACUCUUAUCUCUAAAUGGUAGUACUAUGAUCUCAAUACAUGACACAAUGACAUUUAUCAGUAACACGACAAUAACAAACCAGUUAGUAGGCGAUGGAAUAAUGUAGGUGAUAGGUGAGAAGCACAAUCCUUUAUUAUCUUUGCAUUGAAUAUUUUAUCACUACAGGUGUCUUUAUCUUUUGAGUUAAUCACAUAUUAUCUUCUUUUGAACCAGUCAUAGUCCUGAAUUUCAUUCAAAUUUCUGAUACAUUCAUAUGAAUUGAACCUCACAAAUCCACAAUGAUUUUACUCAUGGGCCAAUGGGUCAUGAUGGGCCAAAGUAUGCAAGUACCUCAAGGCCUAUAAGGGCGAGGGCAAUGUAUACUGUCUAAGUGGUCUAUAAAGGUGGGCCAUAUCAAAGUGGGAUGUAUACCUAUUCCUAAGCCCACAACGGUGAGCUCAGAAGCAGGCAACAAGGGUGGGUCCAGCAAAUAAAAAACAUCCAGAACUCGGUCAGUCGUCUCCUCUCCCGUUCCCCUCUCUCUCCGCGUGUUUCUCCCUCACUCCGCGCCGCCGUCCGUCUCUCGCAAGCGCCGCCAGUUGCGGGCCUCCCCCACCCCUCAGUCUGCACAGAUGAGAUCCCCCCGCACCACACCGCACCUCUCUCAGAUCGAGUUCCCCUUCGUUUAAAUCGAGUUCUACACGGGAGAGGGGGAGAUCUGUCGCGACCUUCCUUGGCUGCCUCCAUGGGCUGCCGCCGCGGUGGCCCUCUUCCCCAACCCCCAUCCCGGUGAUGGCAUUGUACAUGGCCUGGAGGGUUGGAGAGUGGAGAAGAGCGCGAGGAGGGCGUCGCCAGGUUGAGCUCCGUGGUCGAGGGGCAGAGCAGCGGAGGUUUGGAUUGGGGCGGCGUUGGCGCCUUGAACCUUCUCUUUAAGUUCAGGUUAACAGCCUCCUUGCCUUCAACUUCGACCUCAUCUCCGUGGUGUAGCUCACGCAUCUCGUCAAGCUCAUGUUGAUGGCAGGAGCAGCAAUGGUGGUGGGAGUAGCAACCAUAUCGACGCAGGUGAGAGGAGAUGACAACGGAGAGAGAAUAUUGAUAUUUUAUUCAUAUGCCCGGUCCAUAUGGGUACCCAUAAGCAUAGACCAAAAGUAGUCCAUAGGCAAUAAACAAUGUAUUCAACCUAUCCUUGUACAUUGUGCAACCAAUCUAUAGGGUAGUCCAUAGCAAAAACUACCCAUAUGCAUAUGGGUUGCCCAUAAAAAAUAAACAAACAUUAAUCUCUCUCUCCCCACACUCUUUCUCCCCCCCCCCCCCCCAUGCUGCUCAAACAUUAGCUUGUGAGCUCAAUCAUGGAGCUCAGCUUACCACCUCCUUUUACUUUUAACAUUGUGAUAAUGAUAAGACUACUUUGUGUGGGUCCCAUCUAUAUGGACUACUUGUCCAUGUAGAUUGACCUUACCCUAAAGACUGGUUGCACAAUAUAUUACCUUUAUGAUGUCAUAAGGAUCACUUUUGCAUAUAUAUUGUGGGUGCUCUAAUAAAUGUCCAGUCCUUAGCUACAUCCAAGUUGGGUCGGACAAGCCUGGGCACAGUCGCGCGCCGCUAUCACGGGCCACUUCGUAGCUCAAUAUUUUUUAAAAAAAGAUUGAGCUUCCAAUCUUCCAUGAUGUUACUUCCGUUACUGUGAAGUACAAGCUCACAUUUUGAAAACGUUGUAUCGUAUAGCCUUAGGGGGUGUUUGGAUCCUGGAGCUAAAGUUUAGUCCGUGUCACAUCGAAUAUUCAGAUGUUAAUUAGAAGAAUUAAAUAUGAACUAAUUACAAAACUAAUUGCAGAACCCCUAGGCUAAAUCGCAAGACGAAUCUAUUAAGCCUAAUUAAUUCAUCAUUAGCUAAUGUUUACUGUAGCACCAUAUUGUCAAAUCAUUGACUAAUUAGGCUUAAUAGAUUCGUCUCGCGAUUUAGCCUAGGGGUUGUGAAAUUGGUUUUGUAAUUAGCCUAUGUUUAAUACUCCUAAUUAGUAUCAAACAUUCGAGGUGACAGGGAUUAAAAUUUAGCUCGGGGAUCCAAACAUCCCGUUAGGCUCCAUUGUUCUGAGGUUUAGGGAAUAUUAUCUGUUGCAGUUAGUCCUACCGAUCACUGAGUGGUCACUCCAGCCAAAAGAGUAGCAUUUUAGGUGGUCACUCCAGCUAAAAGAGUAGCGUUUUAGGCUAGGUUUAGUCAACAUUUUUAAAACUCUAUAGCUAACUGCUUUGUUUAAAUUGAGAUUCAAAGUUUAUAAAUGUUUUUGCUAGGUAUUUCAUGUCAUGCAAUUUUACUAUAAUGUGUCAAUGUGUAAAUUGUAUAAAUUAGAAAUCAAAGUUGCAUCUAGGAACAUGUUGAUGUCUAAGACAUCACCUUUUAGUCUGAGUAUUGGCCUUUGAGCUAGAUACAUCUAGUUCAUACAUCGACAAACUUUUCAGUGUUAAUAAUCUAAUGUUUCUAAUAAGGAAAAACUAACAUAUUAACAAAAGUGGCAUACUACAUAGCUAAAACUUUGCGCUUAAACAAAUUACAUUACAUACAACAAAAAAUGCAUACAAUUCCUACAUAUAACAUUAGUCGAUAUGGCUUGGAAGUCCUUGGCACUACCAGUUUCAGACUUGGAUAGAAUCUGGUGCUUGGCAGAACGAAGGGCGAGGUGAUCCUUUAGGCGAGCCAAAGCAUUGCAAGCGAAAUUUUACUUGACCACUGCUUUGCAAAGUGCAUAUCCUAAUUCUUUCCCAUUCUCAUGACCUCUUUAUGGAUUUUCAUUGCCCUAACGAUUGCAGUCAAGGUGGAGCCUCCGUACUUUCAUCUUUCCAUUCAGGGCCAGCGCAAGAACAUCAUACUCUUCAACGUACCAUAGCUCUGAUACCCUCGCCUGGAACAGAGAUGAGAAUGGGUAGCCAAUGUUGCUAUGUUAGCAAUCGAGGUGAUUUUGCAAUGAAAUAUUUGGAGAAAGGUAUGGGCAACAAGAACUACCUGGAAGCCACGGAUCUUCUCAUUAACUUGAGCGACCAACCCAUGGAAGAACUUGGUGUGAUCAAAAGAUGAUGCGCUUUGCUACAAGAUGGCACAUCAAAUGUAAUGUCACAUGAGAUUAACUAAACAACUGAGGGAUAUAUCAGCGCAAACUUCCAAGAUUCAGCAGUGAUAAACUAUUGAUGGCAGACCUUGUCUACAGAAAUGUCGAUGUGUUUGUGGGAAACUAUGACUGUCUUAUCAGCACAGCAACAUGGAAUACAGUUAGCUGAAGACAGUACCCUUUCUAAGUUCAAUUUAGUUUAUACAGCCAGAAAUAGUAAAAUGAAGAGGAAAACAAUUUUUACAAGCCACUGCAUUGCUGAACAGACCUUUGUCCCAAACAGUGGGCUUAUUAUGUGGUUGUGAUCGAUAUUUUUAAAGAAUCUAGAUGCUCAUGAGUUUGAGUGCAGACAACAUCUUCUAGCGUCCAAUAUGAAAUCAAAUACAGAGGUGUUAUGUGAAGUAAAACUUAAGUUGUAGGUGGCCUACCUCUUGUGGAAGCUUAGGAUGCCCCAGAAUUCGUGCAAAGGAGGUGUGAAGCAGAACAGAAUCAUACUGUCAAAUACAAAAAUAGGUUAAGUGGCAGAUUUAUUAAAUGUGCAAAAUAUCAUGCUAAUAGCCAUCAGCAUGCAACAACUACAUACAACACAACUAUACUUAAUCCUGAAUGAUAAACUUAGCCAGGUCCUGAAACAAAUUUGUAAGAAAAUACUGUGCUUUUGUUGAUGUUUCUUUGUCAAGAUAAUGUUAUCUGUUGACAAUGGGGAUGGAAACUUGGGUAAUAUUUGUAUCAGAUUAGUCUGAGCGGUUCAUACCAGUUGCUUUUGAGGUGCUCGAGGGAGAGCUUCUCUCAAUCUUGAGCGGAUUUCUGCAGGAUCAGUACCAGAUUCAACCUAAACACACCAGCAAGCAGAAUUGCCUAUAUUUCAGUCUGAAUCCAUAUUAGAAUAGAGGGUAGCACGCUAAGGUUAAACAUAGAUGUCCAGGAAGUCAAUUCACAGACAGAACAGGGUGUUCUAGAUAUGCGAACCUGCCACAAGCCAAGAAGCACACCAGUUGACGUCAAAACCACUCGAUCCAAUACAAUUUUAAGAGGACAAAUAGUCUUGGUGACUUUUUUUACUGCCUCCACUUCGGCUUCAAUCUCAAGGAAACACAUGAACAUGUCAGUAAAAACUUUACUCCCAUGCUAAAAGAAACCAAACAGAGGGUGUGUUCACCUCGUCAUCAGUUGCAACAAUGGGCUCCAAGUGAUGGGAGGCGUGAAACAAACUGAAGUGGUACAUGCUUGUAUUUUGGAACCAGAUAACUGCAAAACAAUCAACCAAGCAAAGUAUUCAAGAUCAAGUGCUUCAACAGUUCAACAAAGCUGUAGCUCUAUAUGCAAGUAGCCAAGCAAUCAAGAACAGCAAGCAACUGAACCGAUAAUUCUAUCUAGCAGCACUCAAGCAUUAGGCCACUUCAAACUAGAUGAAAUUCUACGAUUCUAUGCAUAUGGGAUAUCGUACCAUUACACAAACUUUACCUUGAUCAAAAUAAGGAAGAAAUACUUCCUUGACAGCCUUCCUGCAAGCACAAAACAUACUGAAUAAAGCAAUGGUCUGACGUCACCUCCAGAGGAACAAUUAUUUCAUUACCCACCUGACCAACUACAGGCUAUAACUAUUAAACUUAAUUUCUUCUCUUGCAGCGAAAAAAAAAAUAGCUUCAUUUCAGCAACAAUAAACAGAAUGGCAAGUUGCCAACGGAUUUCAGGCAAAGCUCAUCACUCACGAGAUCACAGCGGCGAACUCCGGGUCCAGAUAGAGCACAUUCGCGCGCACCGGUGGGUCGGCGGCCUGCCAAGCACAUUUCAGUUCAGGGACACAAAAAACAGCACACGCCAGCCAACGUGAGUAGGGUGGGUGGAGAAAGGCCGCACCUUGAGCCUGGGCACGACGGCUCCGUCGUCGGCGGUGUCGAAGAGGUCCGUCAGCGUGAGCGACUGCGACGUCUCGCCGCCCCGGAGGAACGCCGCGCCGCGCUCGUCGAGGUCCCGCGCCAUCUUCGCGUACAGCUCCGCGCGCCGGGCCGGCACGGAGGCGGAGCCGCCGCCUGGGGGCAAAACCAAGAAAAGGGGGCAAGAUUUAAUAACCUGUGAGGAUUUUGGAGGAGAUAGCAAACGGGGAUGGAAGGUUUAGGAGGGUUGGUUACGAGGGGAGACGGGAGGGUAGGAGCCCAUGGGCGGCCAGCGGAGGAGGAGGACGAGGAGGAGGGCGGCGGCGGGGAGGGACCAGACGGCGGCGGUGGCCGGAGAUCUGGGACGGGCGGAGCAGCGGCUCGGGGGCCUCUGCGCCAUCAAAUCAAAGAUGGUUUGGUGACUGCUGUUCUGUUCGAGUGGUUUCCAGACGGUGGGGUCGUGUCGUGUCUCUUUGCCCGUACCCAUGUUUUUUUUUAAGGAAUAUCGAACCAGCGAGCUAGAAGUUCGGCUCGGCUCGGCUCGUUUGCAUGUUCGAGCUGGCUCGUCAAUCUCGCGAGCCAACGCAUUCAGACCAUCUUCGAUGCAGCACGGAAGAAAUUUGAACAUGAAAGUUGACUGAUUGAGUCGCGAUGCGAGAGAUUAACCCGAUCAAAUCAAUCAAACACACAGCAUGUGAUUAAACAAAAAAAAGUCAGCCCAAACCGCGGAAGUUGCAUAAAUCAUCCAAGAUUGAAAAGAAAUUGAGUGCGAACAGACGAUAAAAAAAAACUAGAGCCAGUUUGGGUCCCUUACUGGCUUCACUUGCCUUGCCUCGCCUAGCAAAGGCUAGCCUUGUCCGAGGAGGAAAGCUGAACUGGUUCGCCGUUGCAAGCAAAACUUACUAUAACAGGCACUGAGACAUAUGUUAAAAAAUCAAAUGUUUGAUAGUAUUAUUUCCAUAUAUUUCACAGUGAAUGAAUGUUGCAUUAAACAUAUGUUCAUGUUGCGGUGAGAAUUUUCUAUCUUGGAGUCGAACGACGUAGUCAUUUUUUCACAUAUUUUUCAAUGUUGCAAUUAUGAAUUUUUGAUGUUGCAGAUGUUUUAUUUUGAUGUUGCAAUGGAGCGUCAUAUGGAAAAAUUCCCUAGCAAAAAAUUAGAAAUGAGACCAGCCAUCAACGAUGCGAGCCGAACUGAACAAGUUAGGAAGGCUCUUUUUUUCUCAGCACUACCCAUAGGUGCAUGAACAUAUUAUCAACCUAUCGUCGUAUUUGCUUUCAACUCGUUUUCAAGUAUCGUCGUAUUUGCUUUCAACUCGUUUUCAAGUAUUUUGGAAUGACAAUUUUCUUUUCUCUAAGGUGAAUUUAUUUUGACACAAUAAUAUUCUUAGUGGUCGCUAAUAGAUUGUAGGUAAUAUUUAAUUGUAACAUAUUACUUACUUUAAUAAAGUAUAAAUAAUGUUUGGCGCAGGGAUGCGAAGCCACUAAAAGAUAGAGAUGAGAAAGUAGAUAAGAACAACUUGACCAUCUGCAUAUUUGCGAAAAUAACCUCGAUGCUAAGCUACCAUUGUUUUCACUGCAACAUCCAAAAAUACCACUACUUGCAUUUCAAUGGUCACAUCUUUAUGGUGUUUCUUCCUUUACAAAGGUCUAUUUUACAUACAUACUGAUAAAAAUAAGUAAAGUAGGAAGUUUAAGAUAGCUAUUGCAAAAUUGAUUCGAAGCUUUCUUGCACCCGUUAGUGUGGACGUGGCCUCGAUAAAUAAAAAUAGUAAAGUAAGAGCAGCCAAAGGUGUGGAGAAACUUCAACUUUCCCUUUCCUGUUGAAGCAUCGGUUUAUACGUUAUAGAUGUUGAGGCUUGAACCAAAAAUCUUAGCAUCGUAUAAUCUAGUUACAUCGGUGCUAGCUAAAUAUUUAUUUAAUGAAUCACAGCUCAUGAACCGAGAAGUACGAUGAAGGAGCAUUGAAUGUCCACACGAAGAGAAGAGGAGAGUUUUGACAUUUAUUGGUAAAGCGAGUUCUAUUAUCGGGUUUACGUCAGCAUAAACCGUUAUGGGAUGUUUGGAGCAUUGAUUGUUUCAUGCACACCGUGAAUAUUUUUAAAGAUGCUACGAUAGUGAAGUGUUCAAUACUACUAUUUUAAUAUUUAUUAAAGGUAGAAUUAUAGGUGGGACUAACCAUAUAUUGUGGAUAUCGAGUAGACAAGUAAUAAUAGUGAUCAUCUCUAGAAUUAGUCGGAAAUUUCGAAACGGAUUAUGUUUUUUAGUUUACAGAGUUGUUUUUAUAAUGUUUUGACUAGCCAUUAAGCCAUGACAGGGGAAACCAAAGUUUUUGUCACACAUUGUAUAAUGUCUCGUAUUGUAUUUAGGCCUUGGCAACCUGUUGGACACAGAAACGAAAAGGGAGCCAGAAUCCCAGACGCCAAAAAUAGAUCUCAGGAUCGGAGAGGCCCAAAAAGGCAAAAACUCCAGAGCGGUGGGGCGCAACCAAACCACCCGGUUACGAAAGAAAUCCCAAACGAGAACAUCGUUUCUGAUCUCUUCCCCCCUCCCUUCGCACCCACGCGAGCGAAACCCUAGCCUCCACCGCCACCUCGCCGGAAACCUAGCGCCGAGCAGCAGGCGGCGGCGGCGGCGGCGCCGGGGGAGAGGAGGAGGACGAUGAUGAACGGCCAGAAGAAGCGCGGGACGAAGAUCGAGCCCUUCCGGCACCGCGUGGAGACCGACCCCAAGUUCUUCGACAAGUCGUGGCGGAAGCUCCACGACGCCAUCCGCGAGAUCUACAACCACAACGCCAGCGGCCUCUCCUUCGAGGAGCUCUACAGGUUAACAUUGCGCCCCCCCCCCCCCCCCCCCCCCCCCGAAUUUUCGUUCCCCCCCUGUUCCGUCGGAUUUGUUUCCCCCGGCGAUUAGGUCGGCCCCGCUGUAUGAUCGAUGAUGAUGGAUCGGAUUGCGGCGAAGGUUUCGAUUGAUUGAUUGAUGCGCUGAUUGACGAUCCCUGAUUUAUUUUAUAGUCGAUCCUGUUUGUCUGCAUGUGAGAUGAUGAUAUGCGUGAAUGUUUCUGAACAGAUUAAUCUCGAUUAUUAGUGGUCUUUACUUGUUCGAAGGCUUGUCCUAUAUCCGUAUUCUGUCAUUAUGAUAUUAGGAUAUUUUAUCGAUUCAUUCAUGCUUGCUCGAAGCCGGAUGUGCGUGUGCUGUUUAAUUUUGGCCCGUUUUGAACCUUUGGGAUACAUUAGAGCUGAACCGAUGAGAACUGCCAUGUAGAGUUGCAUUAAUAUUAUUUAUUGUCUAGAGGGCUUGCGUUACGAUCCCUUGUUCGUGUUACUUCCGUUACAAUCCGUGCUUGUGUUCCUGUCCUUCCUAACUUGUUACCUUCUAGUUAUAUACAUCUGUUAUGUCCGGGUGUCCACGUGGCCAGGUUGUGUCAUUAAUUUGUUUACUGAACCCUGGAGAGUACACUAUGGUGUCCCACCAUGCUCUGCUAGGCGUCCUGCCAUCCAUGCAUGGCUUGGUGUUAUAUGCUGGAUUUGCUGUUAUAAUGUAAAUAUUUAUUGUUAAUUUCCAGCCUUACAAGGUGCUACUUGUAUUUUGUUUCCAGUGCUAACCACUACGUAGGUGCCUAGGAGCCUAGGAGUUCUGGUGUGUAGUGCCUAGAGUCUUUGCUAAAUCCUCUUGGAAACUAGGCUUUAUGACUUCGUAUACAUGCUGGCUAAUAGGAUAUGUAAGAUGGUCAUGUCUGUUUGUUUUGGAAAGGUUGAUGCUUUUGGAUAGUUGGCAUUGAUUUCUGAAAUCUUCUCCCGUCAGCAAUUCUUUCUUUUUUUGGCGAAUAGGAUAUGUAAGCUGUGGUACCUAUACUACCGUAUCCCUGAUCCAUUUUUACCAUUUAAUGGCCGACUUUAUGGCCUUUGUUUCAGCAUGUUGCAGCCUUUGAACUUCCCAAAAUGCGUGCAAAUACAUCAGUGGUGUUAUAUUUAAAUCUGUGGAUAGAGCAAAAUUGUUACACAACUCACAAAUAAUCAUACUUCACGUACCUGUUCUAGAAAGUUCAUGUGAUUGAUUCAUCCUUGCACGUUAUUGAACACAGUUUUGGCUAAACAUUUCAAAUUCUACUGUAAGUUUGCUGUCUAAAUAGAGAAAUGAUUUCCUGUAUGUUUGGUCUGUAGAACCUGUUCGCCUCAGGGCUUUUUACUGCUGCUGCGUUUAUUUCAAAUAGUUACGGUUUAAAAAUCUGCUGCUAGAUUUUUUUUAAACGUAGCAGAAGUACACAUGAUCUGGGUUCUUGGUAUGGACAUUGCAUCUAGCUUAUGAAACCAAGAAACAUUACAUAGCAAUUGUAUGAAAGAAACAAGGACUGACAACCCCAAGUCUGCUAGUUCUCUGCAAAUAUUUAUUUUUCAAGAUAUCCUUGUUCUGUUGCUCAUGUUGUUAAUAUAUGUAGGAAAUCACAUAUCUUUUAAUGGUGAAUAUAAUAUUUUUCUUAUAUUAUGACAGGACUGCUUAUAACAUGGUUCUGCACAAAUUUGGUCCUAAGCUCUAUGACAAACUCAUAGAAAACAUGAAAGAGCAUCUUGAAGAGAUGCGUACAUGUGUAGAGGCUGCUCAAGGUGUUUUGUUCCUGGAAGAGUUGGAGAGAAAAUGGAAUGACCAUAACAAGGCAUUGACAAUGAUUAGAGACAUCCUGAUGUACAUGGACAGGACAUAUAUUCCCACUAAUAAAAAGACACCUGUCUUUGAUCUUGGAUUGGAGCUUUGGAGAGAUACCAUAGUUAGGUCUCCAAUGAUUCAGGGGAGGUUGCUUGACACACUUCUUGAACUCAUACAUAGAGAAAGGACCGGUGAAGUGAUUAAUAGAUGCUUGAUGAGGACUACAACUAAAAUGUUGAUGAAUCUAGGGUCUUCUGUUUAUCAGGAUGAUUUUGAAAGACCAUUUCUUGAGGUGUCUGCUAGUUUCUACAGUGGUGAGUCGCAGCAAUUCAUUGAUUGCUAUUCUUGUGGUGACUAUCUGAAGCUUGCCGAGAGGCGCCUCAGUGAAGAAUCAGAGCGUGUUUCACAAUAUAUGGAUGUGAAAACAAAUGAGAAAAUUACUGCUGUUGUGGUGAAAGAGAUGCUAGCAAAUCACAUGCAGAGGUUGAUUCUUAUGGAGAACUCAGGGCUUGUGAAUAUGCUUGUUGAAGACAGGUAUGAAGACCUGACAAGGAUGUACACUUUAUUUAAUCAUGUACCUGAUGGGCUCACAACGAUUAGAUCUGUGAUGAUGUCUCACAUUAAGGAUACUGGAAAGAGUCUGGUAACAGAUCCAGAGAGACUAAAGGACCCUGUUGAUUUUGUCCAGAGGCUUCUAAAUGAGAAGGAUAAGUAUGACAAUAUCAUCAACGUGUCAUUUAACAGUGACAAGAGUUUCAUGAAUGCUCUGAAUUCCUCAUUUGAGCACUUCAUCAACUUGAACAACAGAUCCCCUGAGUUCAUAUCACUGUUUGUUGAUGACAAACUGCGGAAAGGGGUGAAAGAGGCCAAUGAGGAGGAUCUUGAGACUGUCCUGGACAAGGUGAUGAUGCUGUUUAGGUACUUGCAAGAAAAGGAUCUCUUUGAGAAGUAUUACAAGCAACACUUGGCAAAGCGUCUUCUUUCUGGGAAGGCUACUUCUGAUGAUUCUGAGAGGAGCAUGCUUGUGAAGCUGAAGACAGAAUGUGGAUACCAGUUUACCUCGAAGUUGGAGGGCAUGUUCACUGAUUUGAAGACCUCUCAUGAUACUACGCAAGGGUUUUAUGCGUCUACCUCAGAUCUGGCAGAUUACCCCACAAUAUCUGUCCAGAUACUCACCACUGGUUCAUGGCCAACACAACCCUGCAACACCUGCAACCUGCCCCCUGAGAUAGUUGCUGUCUCUGAGAGGUUUCGGGCUUAUUACCUUGGCACCCACAAUGGCAGGAGGCUCACAUGGCAAACAAACAUGGGGAAUGCUGACAUCAAAGCAACAUUUGGAAAUGGCAGCAAGCAUGAAUUGAAUGUCUCAACUUACCAGAUGUGCGUUCUCAUGCUGUUCAACUCAUCAGAUGUCCUGACUUACCGUGAAAUCGAGCAGUCUACAGCAAUACCAGCUGCUGACCUGAAGCGAUGCCUCCAGUCACUGGCUCUCGUGAAGGGUAAGCAAGUCCUGCGGAAGGAGCCCAUGAGCAGGGACAUUGCUGACGACGACAGCUUCUCUGUGAAUGACAAGUUCACCAGCAAGCUGUUCAAGGUGAAGAUUGGCACUGUGGUGGCACAGAAGGAGACAGACCCUGAGAAGCUGGAGACCCGCCAGCGGGUCGAGGAGGACCGGAAGCCGCAGAUUGAGGCGGCCAUUGUGCGGAUCAUGAAGUCGAGGCGGGUCCUGGACCACAACAGCAUCAUGACGGAGGUGACGAAGCAGCUGCAGCCCCGUUUCCUGCCCAACCCUGUGGUGAUCAAGAAGCGGAUCGAGUCCCUCAUUGAGCGUGAGUUCCUGGAGCGGGACAAGACGGACAGGAAGAUGUACCGCUAUCUUGCCUAGAACCACCUCCCUUGCGCCGCGCAUAUUUCAAUUUUAUGCUACCCACCAAUAUCAUAUAAACAGACCUUGAUCCAUGUACUUAUGCAAGAAGGAAUUGGGUCUCUUCCCCCCCUGCACCCCGUGACGGUUCUAGUUUAAACUGGUUUUUGCGGCGUUCGUCCAGGUGGUAGCUAGUUAGCUUCUCUAUGUGACAUGUUGCGCUGGUUUACAUGUUAAUGGUGAUAGAUUUAAAUCUCGCUGUAUGUUCAUUUGAUGUUUGUUGCUUCAGAAUUGCGGUCCAAUCGCUGUCAUGGCCUGCUUUUUUCUGGCUUGAUAGCUGGUUCGAUCUCGCUGAAAUGAUGCCUGGAUGAUAUUCUACUAAAUUAUUACUAUACACUUUGCAAUGCUAAGUGGCAGGUACUGUCCAUUGCCAGCGGUGUGCAGCUUCCGGAAGUGUGUUCCAACUUGCAUGCCUCUCACUGCAACAUCUGUAAGGCAUGUUUUUGUUUGUACUGGAUUGCGAUUUGUGACUAGAAAAAUUGAUGAAUUACUUAUUUCUACUGAUUAAUAAUGGAAAAAAUUCACGGAUUUACCAAGUUUUUUUUUAACAACAGGUAAAGUGACCACACCUUGCAACACCCAGAUAAGCAAAUUUUAAGUUGCGUUGAGACUUGUGAGACCCUUGUUUGUAAUGAAAAAUGAAAAAGCUCGUCUCCUUGAUUUUGUUUGUUUCAUUUUAUGAAUUUAGAACAAUUUCAGCAUUGCAAAUACUCAAGUUCCCGUGUAUGCCCAGGAAUCGGCAUCGCUUUCAGUUUUUCCUGAAGCAUCGCGACGCCACGCUGCCACGCUCGACACAGUCAAAUCAUGCAACGCUCACGUAGGACUGUACACAUAUAUGGGCACGAUGAACAUGGAGGACGACACAAGGCAGCCUCUAAGAAAGAAGCGUGUGAUCGUCUCCGGCGAGCCUAGGUAGCAACUAGUCCGGCGGCGCGGGCGGGAUGGCGGGGCAGGGGCAGCGGCUGAACGUGGUGCCGACGGUGACGACGCUGGGCGUGGUGAAGGCGCGCCUCGCCGGCGCCACCCGCGGCCACGCGCUGCUCAAGAAGAAGUCGGACGCGCUCACCGUCCAGUUCCGCGCCAUCCUGAAGCGCAUCGUCUCCGCCAAGGACGCCAUGGGCGAUGCCAUGCGCGCCGCCUCGCUCUCCCUCGCCGAGGCGCUCUACGCCGCCGGCGCGCCGGUCCGCCACGCCGUGCAGCAGUCCGUCUCCGGCCCCGCCGCGCUCCGCGUCCGCGCGCACCAGGACAACAUUGCCGGCGUCCGCCUCCCCCGCUUCGAGAGCUACCUAUCUGACGGCGGCGCUGCCGGGGGAGCGUCGUCGUCGUCGCCGGUGGCGUCGCUGGCGGGGCUCGCCGGCGGCGGGCAGCAGGUGGCGGCGUGCCGGGCGGCGCACGCGCGGGCGCUGGAGGUGCUGGUGGAGCUGGCGUCGCUGCAGACGUCGUUCCUGACGCUGGACGUGGCGAUCAAGACGACCAACCGGCGCGUGAACGCGCUGGAGAACGUGGUGAAGCCGCGCCUGGAGAACACCAUCACCUACAUCCGGGGGGAGCUCGACGAGCAAGAACGGGAGGAGUUCUUCCGCCUCAAGAAGAUCCAGGCGAACAAGCGGCGGGCGCUCGAGCAGCAGAAGGAGGCCGCCGCGCGCUACGCCGAGGAGAAGGCCGCCGGCGAGGUCAUGCUCAAGCGCGGCGUCUCCAUGGACACCGCCGCCAGCAUGCUCGACAACGGCGACAGGGACGAGGACAUCAUCUUCUGAUCCCUCCACCCGGCUGCACAACGUCUAUUUAUAUGAUAUACGGACUACUUGUUACCAGGAGUCUGUCAAUGCAUAUGCAAGUCUUGUGAUAAUAAUCUUGAGCCUGGAGGCUCCGUGUAGAUGCCAUUUCUGCAUGAAGAUCGAUGUGCUCAACGCGCAGCAGCUGUAUUUUGCAUGCAUUUCACAUGUUUGUGUCACCGGUUCAUGCUUAAAAAUAAUAAUAUUUACUUGCAAAUCACAUAGCCAGAACUCAUGACUGAUGACUCAUCACUCAUUUGCUCAUCAACUCUAUUUUUUCAUCGCUGUAUGACAGUUGACAGUACUUUUAUUCAUACGAUUAGCUUAUUUCGUGAAGGGGCAUUUGUGUUCAUACCCCUGCUUUGAAGUGUAAAUGUGAUUUUGCCCUCAUUUUCUCAACUUUGUGAUUUUACCCAACUAUUCACAAGUCAAUGCGAUUUUACCCCCAGUCAAUGGUCAAAACAGGGGCAAAUACGCAAAGACCAAGGGCAAAAUCGCAUUGACUUGUGAAUAGGUGAGGGCAAAAUCACAAAGUUCAAAAAAUGGGGGUAAAAAUACAAUUGCACUUCAAAGUAGGGGCAAGAUAAAAAAAACCUUUCAUCGAACGCAGAAUGGAAAGGUCAACAAUGGACGAUUUUGGGGUGAAAAAAAAAGGGCUGCCGUGACGUGUCCACAAACAUGCCAAAUCCGCACUCAUUGAUCAUCUGUUAAAAUCCGGUACCGAAUCUCAGAAAAUGUCUUCAGAUCAGCACCCCACAGCCUAAAGUAGUUGCAGCAGGAAAAAUGACAAUAGUAAUCAGUGAACUAAUCAGUCAAUCACAUUUAAACAAAUGAAAGAUUUAACACUUUAUUUUUUAUAAAAUAAGACUUAACAUGGUUGAAAUAUGAUAUCUGCAUUGCCAAGGGAAUCACGAAGGAGAAGAGACUGCAUACCAGCACUCAAGUCCUAUACCAUUUGCACCUGCCUUGUCUGCAGUUUCAUCAUCUCCUACAUGCACUGCCUUGCUGGCGUCCACACCAAUUUGAUCUGAAUAACAGAAAAUAAGAACAUUUCUUCAUUCUACAGAAAAUUUCCAUAAUUUUCAACAGACCAAAUUCUACUUUUUUUACCUAAUGCUAUCUUGAAGAUCUCUGGAGCAGGUUUCUCGUACCCAACCUCUGAUGAUACCACAAUGGCAUCAAACCUGGAGAGCUCAAGAUCUGUUAACAUAUAACCAUUACUUGCAAAUAAUAAUACAUGUAUAUAUGUAAAAAAAAAAUCAUACUCAAGUCCAACUGAAGUCUGAAUAAGAUGGUGUUCGUAGGUACUUACAUAUCAGAGACAUUGAGGUCCUUAAGCAAUUUCCUUAGCCUUGUAUCAAAGUUAGAUACAACAGCUAGCUUAACUGAAAUUGAGACACAUCAAUGUCAGCCAUUUGUGCUGAUAGAGUAGAAUAAGAUAAGGGGCUGGAUGUGGAAAACUAGAAAUUAAAUUGCAGUAAACAACUGGAGAAUUGAAGAUUAACAGCUGAAAACAGAACAAGGGCUUGACCUCCAGCAUCCUUCAGCUCACGAAGUGUUGUGUCUGCUCCAUCAGGCAAACACCAAGCAUCUCCAUGGGCAUAGUACUAAAAGAUAGAAUAAUACAUUCAUCAGCCACACACGGUCUGUGUUUGAAAAUUCAACAUCAAUAAAUUGGAAUGUUUCCUUCAACUGAAAAGUCGAAUGGUAUUUGAGAGUGAAUUUCGCCUGGGCUAUUGUUCACUAACAGCAUAUUCAGAACACUGAUUACUCGCUCAACUUCAUCGUCAUAGGAUGUGAGAUCACGGAUUUCUUUAAGCAGAUACAGAACACCAGAAUACGUACUCAAAUACUCCAAUAAACAUUCAUUCACAAACAAAGCAUUCAUCCAAACAGCCAUAGCGACAAAUUAUAAGACUACACACAAUUCACAGAAGACCAAGAACAAGACUGGGGUAAUACCUGAUACACUUCUUCGAAAUAAUCAUCAUCAGUGCAAUUGGUUGCUUCUGCUACGACAAUUCUCCAGAAUGGCCUUCCAUCUCCCUGCAAUUACAUUCCAAAUCAAACACAUCAUCACCUCGAGAGCAGCAGAAACCACAGUUCUCCAAACUUGCGAAUGCAAUUCCUGUGCGUCUAAUGUCCGUUACCUGGUACCUGAGCGUCUUCGGCCAUGGCGCCGAGAAGGCCCGCUUGAACCCCUCCAUGAUGCCCUUCUCAGGCUUCGUCACACCUGGAGAGCGACCAACGUCAGGAACACCGAGUGCUCGACGAAAUGGCGGAGGAGGGACAUCGAAGGGGAGGUACGUGCGAGAAAGAUGGGUCCUCUGGAGGCAUACUAACCGUAGCGGCGGCCGAUGGAGGCGUAGGUCUCGGCAACCGGCCGCGCCACCUGCAGCAGCGUGCCGCCGGCGUCGAGCAGCAGCCCGCCGUACGCUGGCGCCCGCCCGCCGCCCCCAGCGCUCGCUGCCACCAGACGCCGCGCCAUGCCUGAGCGGGAUAGAGCGCCACGGAGUGCCGCCGGAGCCCGCCGGAGGAGGGGACAGCGCGCCGCCGCCGCGGUGGCGGGCGGCAUCUCCAAAGAAGGAAGCGUUCGCCGGCGAGUCCGCAGGAGAUGCGAGGCCUCGAGUGCGCGCCGCGAAUCUCAAAGCAAGCAGGGGGUGGGGGGCGGCAAGGCAAGGGGCAUUUUGGUCAGAUCGAAGCAGCAAACCCUCGGGAGGGGGAGAGAGAGAGAAAUCAAAGACCAAACCCUAAACCCCCGCGCCCGCCUCCUCUCGCUGCAGCAGCCAGCCAGCGGGGAGCUCGCACGGCGUAGCCUCUUGCUGCGCUCGGUGGCCGCCUGAUCCCGCUUGCUCUUCAUCGAGUUCCCCAGCUGCUGCACUCGCCGGGCGCCGCCGCCCACCAGGAAUCUAAAGGUUAUUCACUUGCCGAUUCUCCCUGCCCUUGAGACAUCUGAUUACUGUUCAUUGUACUAGCAGUGGAAGGCGCGUUCUAAUUCAGCCCAAGUAGUUCUUUGUUGUGUUUGCGCGGAUGGAAAUUAACUGAAUGAGCUUUGCUGUGAUUUGUUAGGGAGGAAGAUUUUUUAUUUUUGGUGGAGGGACAAGCUUUUACUUUUAUUUCAAUUCGUGGAGGAAGGUUUCUGGUGGAGCUGUACUGAUUUCAGGUGAAUCAAUUGGCUUUCUCUUCUCUUUGUAUGCCUUUUUAAUAGUCCAAUUUGAUUUUGCUGGAAGCUUCAAUUUUUUUUUGUUCAUUGUUAUCCUGCAGAUUGAGAGAGGGGCUAAUUUGGGGGAAGAAUGUCGGCAAAGUGGCGGUCACUGCAGCACCGGCACCGGUACACCUACACCUCAAUUGUGUUCCCCAAGCACUACCUUGAGGCACUAGCUCUCGUGCAGGCUGAUGUCACAUCGUCCAAUUUCUUUGUCCAAUUGAACAACUUGAUCUCCUUGACCUCCACCUACUCACAAGUGGUUGCAGUCAAAGACCUUGCCUCAGCAUAUGUGCAGUUUGUGUCUGCUCCAGGGACUCCUGAUGAUUCGGUGCUUGCCGCUACAAAACUUUAUCUGGAAAUCCUCUUCCUUGAGAACUCCCUCCCUCUCCACCGGACGCUCAUAUCGGUGCUCGCUAAGUGCAAGAAAUUCUCCCCAGUGAUCAGUGGGUGCUUUGCCCUGCUCUGCGAGGAGUAUGGUGGCUCUGGUAGUAAAGCAAAGAAGAGAUUUUUGGUAUCUCGGGCAGCCUUGUCGCUGAUUGGGUACCCAAAGUUGGGAUUUUUGGAUGAGGCGGUAGAGAGGUGUGCAGAGAUCAUGGCACUGGAUGUUGUUGAUGGGCUUGAUGGAGUGACUAGAGACAUUGGUGCAGGUUCACGGCCAUCUCCAGUCGUCAUGGAGCAGUGCCAGGAGGCCAUGUCUUGCAUGUACUACUUGCUGCAGCGGUACCCAUCUAAGUUUACUGGCCUCGACAAAGCAUCAAGUGUCUUCAAGAGUUCUGUUAGGACAAUACUAUCUGUUCUCAAGUCAUCUGCCUUUUCAAGGGAUUGCCUGGUGGCCUCUGGAGUGAGCUUCUGUGCUGCAAUUCAGGUUUUCAUGGGUGCGGAGGAGAUUUGCUGGUUUAUUUCUCAAGGUCUUUAUGGCAUCUGUGCAAAUCAUGAAGAUAGAAAAGAUCUAUCUGUGCGUGAUGUGCUUUCUGACUUUGAUCUGUGCGAAGAAAUCAGAGAUCUUUCUGUUUUGAGUAGACUCUGUUUGCUAAGAGGUAUUUUGACAUCUAUUCCAAGGACAGUACUCAACAUACGCCAACUUCAUUCCGGUGGAUCUUUAUGGACUGUAUUAUAUGAUGGGAUUUUACCUGAGCUUUGCAAGCAUUGUGAGAACCCAAUUGAUAGCCACUUCAAUUUUCAUGCUCUUACAGUGACACAAAUAUGUUUGCAGCAGAUAAAGACUUCUGUUUUAGCUGAUUUCACUGACUUCUCUGGGGACUAUAAGCCUUUCUCAAUAAAUGUUAUCAACCGUAUAUUGAGAAUCAUAUGGCGCAACCUGGAAGAUCCUUUGAGUCAGACAGUAAAACAGGUGCAUUUAAUCUUUGAUCUCCUAUUGGACAUUGAAUCAUGUAUUCCAUUAGAAGACUAUGAACACAACGACAAAUUGUUCCUGAGCAAUAUUGCAAAUGAUUUACUUCGCCUGGGUCCGCGAUGUAAAGGGAGAUAUGUACCUUUGGCUUCUUUGACAAAGCGAUUGGGUGCCAAAUCUCUUCUAAGAUUGAAACCAAACCUGCUUUCAGAAACAGCUUAUGCAUACAUAGAGGAUGAUGUUUGUUGUGCUGUGACAACAUUUCUAAAAUCCUUCCUGGAGACAUUAAGAGAUGAAUGCUGGAAUGAUGACGGUGUCGAUCAAGGGUACGAUGCCUUCAGAGUUUUGUGCUUGCCUCCUUUGAUGCGGGGACUUGUAUCCGGAAAUUCAAAACUGCGUUCCAACUUGAAUACUUAUGCUCUACCUGCUCUUAUUGAAGUAGAUGCAGAUAGCAUAUUCACAAUGCUUGGGUUCAUCUCAGUUGGCCCGAGCGCAAAGGCAACUGAACUAGAUAUUGUUUUGAAGAAUGAUCAGUGUAUAGCUGCACUGGUUUCACUGCUCAAAGUCUCUCGAAAUCUAGCUCUUGUUGAAGGGGACAUUGAUUUGGAUCCUGAUAAAUUGUCACAGCCUCAGAAAGAGGAUGACAGGGGUGCUGCAGUUAUAUCUGUUAGAGGGAUUAAUGUUACAGUGCCUGUUAAUUGGUUUGCUUUGGCACUGACACACAAUGAUGAAAGUCUCCGUAUAGAUGCUGCUGAGUCUCUCUUUCUAAAUCCGAAGACAUCAAGUCUUCCAUCCUCCUUGGAACUGAGCUUGCUUAAAGAGGCAGUCCCAUUGAAUAUGCGUUGUAGCUCAACUGCAUUUCAAAUGAAAUGGACAAGUUUAUUUCGGAAGUUUUUUGCUAGGGUGCGAACAGCACUUGACAGACAGGUAAAGCAGGGGUCAUGGAUUCCAUCUUCAACAGCUAGUGUUAAAGGAGCUGAUUCUGUUGAUGCUGCUAAUGCUGCUGUUAGCCAGAGGGCUGAAGAUCUGUUCCAAUUCAUGAAGUGGCUGAGCUCCUUUCUGUUUAACUCUUGUUACCCCUCGGGCCCUUAUGAAAGGAAAACAAUUGCAAUGGAGCUUAUUCUUACACUAUUAGAUGUAUGGCCUAUUUGCCGUUCUGAAGGGAAGAACGAUCUUUAUCCUUACAAUGACAGCAUAAUAUUGCCAGAUUCAACAAUUUCAUUUGUAGGAUCUAUAAUUGAUAGCUGGGACAGGCUCAGGGAAAACUCUUUUCGCAUUCUGCUGCAGUUUCCAACGCCACUUCCUGGCAUUUCUUCUAGUUUAUCCAUAAAUGAUGUUAUCAGAUGGGCAAAAACACUUGUGCUAAGCCCACGAGUCCGGGAAAGUGAUGCCGGUGCGUUGACCUUCCGUCUUAUAUUUAGGAAGUAUGUUGUGGAGCUUGGAUUCAUUCUUGUGUUUUCUAAAGAAAGUGAUUGCCUUGAAUGUUACACACAAUCUACUAAUGGAGAUACAAAAGCUGUUACUAGUCAAAACCCAGUUGCACAGUAUAUUUCUGCUCUCAUUCAAUGGCUCUGUACUGUUGUCGAAGAGGGUGAGCGGGAUCUUUCUGAAGCAUGCAAGAAAAGCUUUGUUCAUGGAGUUCUUCUUACCCUGCGCUACACAUUCGAUGAGCUGGAUUGGAACUCUGAGGUAGUGCAAUCGUGCGUUUCUGAAAUGAGUUGCCUGGUAGAAAGGGUGCUUCAACUCAUAAUGCGUGUAACUUCGCUGGCUCUCUGGGUGGUUUCUUCUGAUGCAUGGUAUAUGCCAUACGAUAUGGAUGACAUGAUUGAUGAUGGUUCCUUCCUCUCAGAUAUAUAUGAGGAGGAUCAACGUACUACUGGUUCAGAAAAAGAAGAGAAGAAUGCAAAACCAGGGAGUAAUGGCAAACCAGCCGAUCAGGUUGUUAUGGUUGGUUGUUGGCUUGCUAUGAAAGAGGUAAUGAGUUCAUUCCUUACCAUAUAUUCUCCUUUAGUUUUCAACAGAUUCAUUUUUCUUACUCCACAAGAGCUUCAGGAGUUGGUUUGUCGUGUUGAAGGGCUAGCUUAAUUAGCCCAGGUCUGGUCGUUUGAUUUAUUUCUUUUCAGGUGGGUUAUCUCAUAAUUUUCUGGCAACCUCAUCAUAUCUCCUAUUAGAGGUAUGGCGGAGAUAUGGUUGCUAUUGUAAGGGACCGUUUUUCUUUCUCUAUAAUAUAAAGAUAGACAGCUCUCCUUUGUGUUCGAGAAAAAAAAAGAUAAGUUGAGCAGCUAGAUAAAUUCUAAUAGCUAUGAUAUACUAUAAUUGUGAUCUGAGUAAGUUAUGAACCCCAAUUUUCUAGUAGGGAGGUUUUCAGAAAAUAUUGCUUCUGACCACUGGAAUGUUGCAUUUAUUGAAAGGUUUUCUCGCCCAGCUUUAGGCUACAAUUUUUAUUAAUUCAUUAGAUUGACAACUUAUUUCAAGAAGUUGCAUACUUUAUUUCAGUUUCAUAUUACAGUUGCAAUGCAGUUCCCUUAUUGUGUUUAAUUGUCUUUUCUAUGAUGUAACUUUUCCAUUUGCCAUUUCAGGUUAGCCUACUUUUUGGUACCAUCAUCAGGAAAAUUCCAUUGCCUGGCUGUUCUCAUUCAAAUUCAUCUCAGGAUGGCUUGCUUGACAGUACUGAGGAAACAAGCAUGUCAGAAGAAAUUCUUGACGUGGGGCAGCUGGAGACAAUGGGUGACCAUUUUUUACAAGUUCUUCUUAAAAUGAAGCAUAAUGGUGCAAUAGAUAAGACUAGGGCUGGGCUUACUGCCCUUUGCAAUCGUCUCCUCUGCUCAAAUGAUUCAAGGUAUGUUGAAUGCUCACUGAGGCCAUUCGCUGAAUCGCUUCAUGUAAAGAAUGGGAUUUCAUGUGCCUAAACCAGCUAGAGUUCUUGUUUACGUUCAAAAUUUUUAAUCCCUGUUUUUGUUAGCAAACCUCCAAAUGUUUCAUCACUUGUGGUACAAUCGUAUCUCAUGAAUAAAUUUAGUCAUAUGAUGAUGCAUAUAUACAUUGACCCUAGACACCAAUAAAUUUGCUACAUUCUGAAGGCUGAAAUUCUGAACUGUCAAACGAAAACUUUGCCUUCUAACAGAUAUGAAUCACAUAUUGUGGUAAUGGAGCCAUGGCUUAAUAGACAUUAGUAUUUCAGUGUGAUUUUUAUUGAACCUGAUUCUAGAUUUGCAUGCGUGUGUGGUACUUGAGUUGAAUUAAACUAGGAUAUACAGUUGUGUACUAUGUGUAAUGUAACCUUUUGAUAACUUGUAUCCUUCUUUCUGAGGAUCUUUAUGUGUCUUCAUGUACAGGCUAUGCCAAAUGACAGAAUCGUGGAUGGUGCUACUAAUGGAUAGGACAAUUGCUAAAGGGCAAACUGUAGAUGAUUUGCUAAGAAGGAGUGCAGGAAUACCUGCUGCAUUUAUUGCCCUGUUCCUCGCAGAGCCGGAAGGAACUCCAAAGAAGCUACUUCCAAGGGCACUAGAAUGGUUGAUAGAAUUUGCUAAGACAUCUUUAGCUAAUUUUCAGAAAGACAACCACCAGAAGUCUGGAAUAACGAGAGAUGGCCUUGGAGAGCUAUGUGAAUCGGAAUCAGGAACUACCGCAAGUGCACAUUCUAAUGGGAAUCUAUCUAAAAGCCGAGAUGAGGGUGUUGUUCCCACUGUGCAUGUGUUCAAUGUGCUUAGAGCUGCCUUUAAUGAUGCAAAUUUGGCAACCGACACUUCUGGUUUCAGUGCUGAGGCAACAAUAGUUGCAAUUCACGCAUUUUCAUCUCCCUACUGGGAAGUGCGCAAUGCAGCUUGCCUUGCAUACACUGCACUGGUCCGUCGCAUGGUUGGAUUUUUGAAUGUGCAGAAACGUGAAUCAGCACGACGGUCAUUAACUGGCCUUGAAUUCUUCCACAGGCAAGUUGAAUACAUUUCAAUAUGGUUUGCUAUGUAGCAAUUGUGGUCAUUUGAUGUAUACUGCAUUACUUUUAUUUGUGUUAAACAUGAAUUUUAUUUGUUGGGUAACCUUUUUGCUGGUUCAACACUUCAGUCUUGUCUACAUGAUACUAAAUACAUGUUUUAGCCUUCCCAGCUUCUCUCAAAAUACAUGCCAUCUUUCUAGGCAUUUUCCCCUAUUUUCUUUCUUUCUUGCCCUUGCUAAAUAAAUGCUAUCACUCACAAACAAAUGACAUGUCUCUUUCCAACGUAAAAUGUAGGGCAACAUUUGAUCCACUUUCUCAAUCCUUGUGCACAACUCUCAAAUGACAUGUAUCUUGAACUGGAUGGAGUAUAUUAGUGAAUCAAGAGAAAAGGAAUUUGGCAUCAUCUCAGUUAUUUUUUUUAUCAUGCUUGUUUUUAGUGAAACAAUUAUAUUCAAAGUGCUUGGAUUAUUUUUCAAUUCAGUAGGUGGAUUCAUCUGUUUAAUUGAAAUGUGCUUUUGUUAUGUAGGUACCCAGCACUUCAUCCUUUCCUUUCUAGUGAACUGAGAAUUGCAACUGAACUGCUAGCUGAUGGAGUUUCUAGCGAUUUGGAGUCACAUAUUGUGAAAGCCAUACACCCUAGCUUGUGUCCUAUUCUUAUUCUUCUAUCAAGGCUGAAGCCAUCGCCUAUAAGCUGUGGAACUGAUGAUUCUUUAGAUCCUUUUUUGCUUUUGCCUUUCAUCCAAAGAUGCGCUACCCAGAGUAACUACAGGGUUCGUGUCCUUGCAUCAAGGGCGUUAAUUGGUUUGGUAUCUAAUGAGAGACUGCAGCAAGUUGUUAGUGAUAUACUGGGUAAUUUGCCUAAUGUAAAUCAUGAAGUUUCCCCAAGUGUUCAGCUUUCUGACCCUCCCAUAUCAGCUAAUAUGGAAAAUGGAAAUUUACUUCGGUUUUCAAAGUCCUUUUCAUUCAAUUCUAUCCAUGGCCUUUUGCUGCAGCUGUCUUCUCUUCUGGAUAACAACUUUAGAGGCCUGACAGAUAGGAGCAAGAAAGAUCAGAUUAUUGGCCAACUAAUUGAGGUUCUGUCAAGAUGUUCUUGGCUUGGCAGCACCAAAUUAUGCUCAUGCCCUGUCGUAAGUACAUCUUACUUGCGGGUGUUGGAUCUCAUGCUUGAUGUUGCAAGGACAGGGAAAAGCAGACAUACUGAAGUCAUCCAGACACUGCUGUUAGAGUUGAGCUCCCAGUGCUUGAACAGUGCCGUAUCAACCCGGUAUGCAUUCCAUGAUCCAACCCGGAUUGAACUUCAACAACAAGCAACUGAAUCAUUUUUCAGCUGUGUUGGUCUUUCUAAGAGAAAUGAUGAAGCUUCUGAGGAAGAUGUACAGCUCCAAAUACUUGGUGAACACACUUCAAACAUUUCAGCGAUGCCUGGGGAGGUCUCCCUACCUGAACUACACAAGGAGAUUAUGUCAUGUCUCACUGAACCUAUGUACGAUGUUCGAAUUACAGUGCUGAAGAGGAUUCUUCAGCUCACAAAAUCAAUCAGAUAUGGCCAUAGUAAAAACAUUUUGCGCCAAUGGGCAGGAGCUAAUCUGCAGCCUGUGUUAAUGGAACGGUUAUUUGCGGAAGAACACCCAAAGUGCCUUUACUAUAAUCUAAAGAUCAUCUUUUUGUGGAACAUGGAAUCCCCAUUCAACAAUGGAGAAGAUUCUGGAACAAUUUUAUCCUUCUGGGACAGAUUAGUUCAUUUGAACAGCACCAUGUCACAUGCAAAAACCAGAGAAAUAAUUCUAUGUUGCAUGGGUAUGUGCAUGAAAUGGUUCGCUAAAUUACUCAGGAAUGGUCUUCCAAUGGUUGGACUCAAGACAAGUGAGCUCUCUGCAUCCUUUGUCAGAAUCAAUGAAGGAAAUAGAUUGUCUGAUGCCAUGCUUGGAGUAAACUUCUUUGUUACUCUCGUCAAGAACCAAAGUGCGCCAUCAGAAACUGUGAAUGCUCGACGUGCUGCUGCUGAGGCAAUUGUUGCUUCUGGUCUUCUUGAAGAAGCAAGCUUCGUUGCUUCAUCUGUGUCGAACUUGUGCUUCCCUUCUGAAUGUGAUGAGGGCCAUAUCAAAAAGAAAUGCAUGGAAGCUAGUGUUUCUGAAUUUAUCAGUAUUUAUGCAUGCAAGAUACUUGACUUAUGGUUCAUAUGCAUUCAGUUGUUGGAGGAUGAAGAUGCCUAUCUGAGACAAAACCUAGCAAAGAACAUUCAGAACAUAAUCGCAAAUGGUUCAGCUAGUAACUUCUGUGAUGAUUCCACACCACUGCAAGUUGAUAGAGUCAUUGAAUUGAGCUUUGAUUAUCUCACUUCUUUGUUUGGCCCCUGGUUGAAAUACAUCGAGUAUUUGUCAAGGAUAGUCUUAGAUACUGGAAACACUCUGAACUCCCGUGAGGAUUUGGUCCGUCAGAUAUUUGAUAAAGAAAUAGAUAACCAUCAUGAGGAAAAGCUGUUGAUAUGCCAAAUCUGCUGUUUUAAUAUUCAGAAGCUUUUGCAGUCCAAAUAUCAGAUGGAAACAGGAGGAAAAACUGGAUCGUUCCUGCAGAACUGGCGGGAGAGAUUUUUGAACCAACUCACAUCGCUGACUAGUGGCUAUCUUGAGAAAGAGGGGAAAAUUGAUUGGAUUGGCGGCAUAGGUAACCAUAAGGAUGUGUUCAUAUCAGUUUAUGCAGAUCUGUUAGGCUUGUAUGUGCUUGCACCAUCAGGUUCUCUGGAACAUCAGGACAGUCAUGCAACUUAUUUGCAAGAAUUUUCAAACCUUGAUGGGUUUAUCAAACCAUUCCUCAAGAACCCUCUGAUAUCUAACCUUUAUGUUCUUGUAAAACUAUCACAUGAGAGGUUAAGAUGCCCAGAUAAGCCAGAGGACCAAAUGGCCUCAAGUUUUGACCCAUAUUUUCUUAUCAGAUGAGUUUUGCUCAUGUAAAAACUAAUUAUUCUUCAUUGUUAUUCUUCUGUUGUAACAUUCUAAUUAUAAUUGUUUCUUUAAUAUAAAUUUACCAUUCUACAGAUUAUUUGCUCAAUGCCCCCUAGCUCAGUGAGCUGUGUUACAUUUUACGCAUCAGAGUUUUGCAGUGUAUUGGAUGUGGAAAUGAAGGCUAAUGUCAGGGCUUCUCCCUCUUGUUGAUCAACUUUAGAUUUUUUUCUGUAAAAUUAAUGAACCAGUCUGGUAGUGAGAAACCAAGAAACAUGCCUUUUUUCUUUAAUAAGAAAAUGAUUGUUACAAAUAUUGAUAAUGCCCUUAUAUGUUACAACUGGUGCAUUUCUCUUUUGCCAAAUGGCUGCACCUUUAAGAUACAACUGCAAGUGCUCAGCUCUGCAAAAACUUGGACACCAUUUCUGAGGGCACAAGAGCUUCAUGAAAUGGCAAGUAACACAGCUUGCAUGAAGGAGAGAUUCUUUCUGCAGAGGCCACAAGAGCUCUGGAGUUGAACAUGCCAUUAAUGGCCAAAUCUCUCUAGAAUUUGGGUCUGCUGUUCUGAAUUUGCCUGUUUGAACCAAUCGGUUUGGUGAUGGUGAUGGUUGAAUUGGGUCUAUGAAUGGUCGUUGUUCUCACUGGCUGUCCACUCAAAGAGGUUGUCCUUUGCUGAGAUGACCUGUAACAUGAGAAGUUAAAAUGACAAUUUUUUCAGACCUGGAAGUGCACUUUCUGAAACCAUUCAUGUAAUGCCAUGGGACAGUAAUGGAACAAACCUCUGAAAAGUGUUCUUUUGGAUAGCAGAUUGCAAUCUUGCUCGACUGCAAAUCAGAAUUAGACAGAUUCAGAAAUAGCAAUUUCAAUUUAUGAUCGUAAUUUCAAGAGUAACAAUUACCUGUUAGCCUCCAUCCUGGCUUUUUUCAGUAUAGGACUCUUGUAGUUGGAAUUGGAUAGACUGCUAGGUCCACCACCUGCAAAAACACAUAGAUCUUAGAUUAACACUGGAAGGAAUAUAGAGUUGCAGGCCAAAAUUCAGCAGAAACAGAAACAGGAAAUCACCUCCAAAGAAACUUCUUUUGCUGCUUGGAGGCACCUUUGAACAAAGUUUAAUUUGUUUGCUUUGUUUCUCUGCAUAAAAUUUAGAUGAAAGUAUAAGUGAUACUUUUAUGGUACUGACAAUGGGCUAAAGACUAUAAAAAGUCAAGACUGCCAUAUGCAGUAUUCUCCAAUUCAAACUGGGCUGAGUUGGUCAAGCACAACUGAAUUUAAAACCAUGAUAAGAAAUCUAUUUACCAGCUUUCUCUGCCUGGAACUUCUUUGUGAUUUUCUCGAGCAUCCUGUCUUCAACUUCCUUUUGCCUCUCUGUUUUUGCCUGCAAAGUUACAGGUACAAGUAACUACAGGAUGAAGGCAAUCCAUUUUAACAGAUAAAACCCCCAGUGUAGCUUCUAAGCUUCACCCAGUUUUUCCUCUUUUGAGCAAAUAUGUUGCCAUGUAUUGAUAACCUUUACUAAAAAGAGUAUGGGCACCUUCACACAUCAGUUUCCUAAUUCUAGUUCCCUUGCUGACCAUUUUCAGGUCCUCCAAGGCAAUGAAAAGUGCGAGCAAAUGAAGAAAGAACAGUGUUUUACCUUGAAGAGCUCCUUCCAUGUGUAACGUGCUUUUCCUUUUGCCUCCUUCAUUCUCUUGAUAACUAGGUUUGUAUGGUCCUCGCCAAAUUCCUUCUGAUAGAACCGCCUCCACAGAGGAUCGGUUAUCGGGCUAAGAUCCAUCUGUUCCAACAAACCCAGCCACACACAAUCACAGUCGAAUUCCCAAGAAAAGAUUUGAGAACAUUGCAGGGCUAUUUACCGACCUGUGUGCGGUUCUCGAUACGGGUGAGCUGCUCCAGCGUGCAGUGCGGCAGGAUGCGCUUGAGCAGCUCCGUCUCGAUGCCGUCGACGUGGCCCACGUAGCGGAGGUUGUCGAUGACCUUCUGGACGCAGAGGUCCACCAGGCUCCGAGGCUUCCUCCCAGACUCCAUCGUCUCCCUGCCAGAAACAACACCACAACCACUCGCUAUAUCCAGGAACUUCUCAGAUUCUAUCCUUUUUUUCCCCUCGCAAGCUGCAAAAUUGGCCGCACCGCGCACCGGAGAGGAGCAAUUCAACCAAUCGAUCUUGCGCCGCCGGAGACGAAGACGACGAAUAUUUUAAUCGGCCGAACCAGGGACGCGGACAGAGGUACGGAUCGGAUUAGCAAGAACCCGCCAUGAAGCAACCGAAUCCGGAACGAACUGGUGGACAGGAGGAAAGAUUUAGAUUGGAUUCGUCGCUCGCGGCAGCUGCAAAAGAUUAUCAAGAGAUCCUACUACUAAAUAAAUCCUAUAGAAGAUGACUCGUUGACUUGUAGACGAAGGAAAAAAGAUCCACCGAAGCGUGGCGGGGAGCCUUACCGAGGAAACAGAUCGAUUCCGAGACCGGAUGGGCGUCCUCCCCUCCGAGAAGGAGCAGAUUUGGGGAGGGAGGAGGACGGCGCGAGGAGGAAGAAGAGCAGCUGUUCGUUGUCGUGGGUGGUUCGGCUCGGUCGGCGUGCGGAUGCGUGGGUGGGGCGGGCCAUGGACCUGGCUAACCAGGUUGGCCGGCCCAGAAGAACACGGGAGUUUGCGGGCUAAUUUACUUAGCUGCGUGUCGGCCUAAAUUUGAAAACAGCCCAUGUAGCUCAAAAAUUCUCAGAAAAAUCGAAGAGUGGAAAAAUCACUUUCUUAAAAAAACAUAUAUAUAUAUAUAUGUAUAUUUUUCUAGCCUUUCAACUUGUUCAUAAUUGUUUAGUCCGAGGAACCAACAAUACAGAGAUGAUCUGUAGCUGGAGUUGGGUCUUAUAGCUUGAGCUUGCAGAUUCUUCUCAGGCCCGCGUUGGGAUGGUCAGCUCAGCUGUUGGGUUGUUGCUGCAUGCCUGCAUCGAUCUUGUUAUCUAGAAAACGGUCAGAGGUGGAGUACGUACCAGCGUAAUGAAUCUCAUUAGCUAAAAGAAAAAAGAUUACGUAAAAAAACACACUAAAAAGUGUUCAUUCAUUGCCACGUACAAAAACAAGACAAAAUUUCCAUUGCCGGGAUUUGAACCCGGGUGUCACCUGGGUGAAAGCCAGGUAUCCUAACCGGACUAGAUGGCAAUGGAACUAGUUUGAGUGUUCUACGGUUCCAAUUUAGUCUAUGUGAGUGUUCUACGGUUCCAAUUUAGUCUAUGCAAAUUAUAGGUCGUUUUGAUUUUUCUACAUGCAUAGAUAUUAUUAUGCAUCUAGACAUAGGGUAUAUCAAGUGCAUAAUAAAAUAUAUAAAUCUAAUAAAGCUAAAACGACCUAUAAUUUGGAAUGGAGGGAGUGCUAUUUAUUAUCCUCUCUCUCUCAGGCAAUAGAGCAACUUUCGCUCAGCAAAAUUUUCAAUUUACUUGUUUCCAGCUUACAGUUAUUAGUAAAGAAAAAUCCAUGUCGAACUGCACCAAACUGAGGCUGAUACAAUAGUUAAAAGAAAUCAUACAAUUAAUCUGUAAAUAAAGUUUCCUUUAGUCUUAAAUAUGUGCUUGCGAUGAAUGUAGCUGAUUUGUUGAUACGUACAACCCUAAUUAUUAGCUUGAUAGAACAAAAGAGGUUAUAAGUCCACAUGCUCUCCUAUGCCCAACCCAAGAUUCGGUUAUAAUUACAAUGUUGUGACGUAGAGAUAGUAUAAUAUGUGUCAGAUCCGGACCUUGGAGAUAUAAUAUUUUUUAAUUAGACGUCACGUAUAUAGGGAUAUUAAGAAGUAUGCAUGCACGCCUACCUAAGUCAUCUAGUCAGUAAGCUUUGACUUUGUCACGAUUGAUCUUAGCAAAUAGUCCCACAAGUUAAAGUCCAAGGGGGCCGACGCCCCCACCUAUGCACCUUGAUUGGCGGUGCAAACCAACUAGUGGUUGUAGGGCGGUCCCUCACGGACCAACGUUUUGUGAGGCACUACAACAUCAUGCAGAGAAAUUCAUCAUGAAUUACAUGGUUUGUUAUAGCGAGAUAAGCCUCCAUCCUACAAACCAAAGCGAACCAGCAAUGAGGUGAUGGGAAAGCCGCCGCCCCUUGUUCGCUCAUUUGCAACCAACACUACUACCAAAGAUGAUGAUAACGAUCAUGAAUUGCAAAUCUACAUUGAAGUCUACGCCAGGCCUGCAUCAAGUAAGCACAUGAACUCUAACAAAGCUCAAGAGCUUCCUCCUCAUCCACCAAGGCAAUUGAGAACUAAAACCUCUAUAAUGUAGGUGUUAUAUCUAUAUCUCUAAGUUCUACACCUGGCAUCUACGCAUGGAGUGAAUAUAUGACUACAUAAGCUAAUUAUUAUGUAAAAAUUAUUCCUUAUUCAUAAACUUCAUGGGUUACUUCGGUAAUGAAUUCUCCCUUUUUAUUAUGGAACUAUCCAGUCAUUCGUGGACAAAUAUCUAGCUUAGCUAUUUUAUUAUUAAAAAUAAUAACUAAUUAAAUAGGCAACCAAUGCGUUCUUUAUAUUAAACAAUUUAAUAUUAAACCAUUCUUAAUCGCUAGUUUUAUUUCACUGUUUUCUUGCCAUCUUGAACAGAAUAAAAUCGUGAAAAAACCCAUACAAUGCAAAGUAUCAUUUUGUGAUUUCAUAGGGUAGACAUAGCAUUUAACUCAUGCAUAAUGUGUAAAGCACUUAAUUGUACACGAAAUCGGUUCAAUAGAUAUGUGAAAGAGUUUUAUUAUGUUGGAAACCAUAUGAGCCGAGUUUUUAUUUGUCAGUUUCUCUCUAUUUAGAACUUCAAUAUUGCCGUAUCAUCAUAUUUGCUUACGUGUGACAUUAUUACGAAGAAUCAAACUCCCACAUGUUGUACAUGGAUAUUAUUGUGCCCAAUUCAAUUCGUCCGAAUACUACCUCGUUGGAACAGUAAUCCGACUAACUGCUCGUCGAUCCAAUCUUCUUCUUCAGAUUAAUCCGACGAAACUGAUUCCUGAUCUCUCAUGCCUCGGACUCGGAGUCGAGCGCGAGCUGACUCCGAGCGCUUUCACCAAGCUCAGCAGGUUCUCAUGCGACGACCCACCACGGCCGGCGGUGGCCUCCGCCUCCGCCUUCCACCUCGCCGCGCUCCUCCGGAUCCCCUCGCUCUCCAUCACCCCGUCGACGUGCCCGGCGACCUGCUCCCUCCUCACCUCGGCGUCCAGCCGGAGCCCCACGCCCCACACCUCGCACGCGUACUUGCAGAUGGUGAACUGGUCCGCGAACACCGGCCAGCACACCAUCGGCACGCCGGCGGCGAGCCCCUCGCACGUCGAGUUCCACCCGUUGUGCGUCACGAAGCACCCCACGGCGGGGUGCCGCAGCACCCGCUCCUGCGGGCACCACGUCGCCAGGCGACCCCGCGCCGCCGUCCCCGCGAGGAACGCCGGCGGCAGCGCGGCCGGCCCACCGACGGCGCCGGGGACGAGGUCCUCCCUCACGACCCACAGGAACGGGCGGCUCGUCGCCGCGAGGCCCCACGCGAAUUCGGCGAGCUGGGCGGCGGUGAGCACGGUCAGGCUGCCGAAGUUGGCGUACACGACGGAGCCCGGGUCCUGCGCGUCCAGCCACGCCAGGCACUCGGUGUCGUGCUUCCACAGGCUCAGGUCGAUCGAGUCCGAGUCGCCGCCGCCGGCGUCUUCGUCCCCGUCGCCGUCGUGGCGGUGGCGGAGCAGGGUGCCCAGCGGCCCGACGGUGUAGAUGCGCGGGUACUCGGCGCGGAGGGCAGCGAGGACGUCGGGCUCGAGGGCGUCGAAGGUGUUGAUGAUGAGGGCGCCGGCCUUGGUGCAGUUGUUGGCCUCCGUGAUGUUGAACCAGAGGCCGAAGUCGUCGGGGUCGGUGGUGCGGACGAAGCUCGAGACGUCGCCGAGGCUGAUCGGCGGCAUGCCGGGGAUCCAGUCGAUGAUCGUCUUCUCCAGGUAGCCGUUCGUCAAGGAGCUCUCAUCUGCAAGAUGAGAAAAAGACGAGCGAGUCGAUACACACAUUGACGUUAAUUUGGUUAAGUUGCUAGCUUGCUUGAGUAAUUAGUACGUCUUAGUUUGAAUUGAACUAAAACAAUAUAGAUUAUAUUAAUGCGUGUGUAGUUGCAUCCAUGCGGGUUGCAUUUAGUAGUUAUAAGAGUGAAUAAUUUUUAAAAUGUGUUUAGACAUUGAUUAGGAUUUGGUGUUUUAGAGCUUUUCACGAGCUCCUCUCGGAUAAGCUCCAAAUGAAAGGGUGGCUGGAAAAAAAAGCUGUCUGCAAGCAUAUUUUAUUUACAUUGGUGCUAUUAGGCCACCUAAACAUCCGCCAGUACAGAUGCACCCUAUCUAUACUGGCGGGUGUUAGGUCGCCUGCCAGCACAUACCUAUCUCUGCUUGCGGGUGUUUGCGGGUUGGCUCUGGCACCUUUGUACUGGCCGGUGCCCGCCAGCCCGCUAGCACCUUCCAUGUGGCAAAUCUUUUUCUAGCAUAGUAUUUCCUAAGAAUGUUCCAGAUUUUUUUUGCAAUUAUUCUCAAUUUCCUAGAGCGAAAUCCAUUUAUCAUGUUAUACAUUAUUUUUUCGUAUGCCUGUCUUAAGUUUAUUAAUAGUUCAAAAAUAAUUUUGCUAAUUCAGUUUGAGAAAGUUUUUACUGUGUGUGGCCAAAAUGGUUUUUACUUGAACAGAGAGUUUAAGUGUAGUGUAUGUAGAGAAGGAGCACGUAGGACCAAUAUAAUGACCUCUGCAAGCAUAAUAUUUUUUUUUUGAAGGAAACAGGAGGGGGAGCCCCCUACUGAAUUAUUGCAAAAAAGAAAAGAGUUUAAAAGCAGUACAAAUCAGACCCAAGGCUUAAAGAAAGAAAAACAAACAAAGGAAGUACAAAAGAAGGGAAUUCGUUAAGGUCGGAGCAUAAUCACGUGUGCUUAGUAGAAUUUGAAACCAAUAAAGGCAUCUGUGUACACGACACAAGACUUUUACUUUAUGCUGCAAAGCAAGUUGCUCUCAGAAAAUUGAAGUACAAGCAACUGGCCAAUAAGAUAUUAUUAAUAUAGUAAACUUGCAUUGAUCCAAGAAAAAUGAUUAGUUUUGACAGUCAGCAGAAAGAAGAAUAGCUAUACCAUGUUGCAGUUGCACAACAGACAACAGAGCAGUGAAGUCAACCCACCACUCCUAGAUCCUACUUCAAAAUGUAGCACAGCAUUUGCAAAUCGUCUGAUCACGAAUUUCGUUUUGAUGUUUGAAUUUGAAUACAGGAAUGAACAUAGGGCUGACUCGUAGAUUUAUUUAUGAAAGAAAAUCAUGUUUGGCACUCUAGCUUUAGUUACAGUUUGGAAACUAAAUUUAAAAAAUGUAAAUUAAACUCACAAUAUUGACCCAGUGAAAUCAUACCCUACCUUUUUUACUUUUUUUUUCAUUUUAACGUAGAAGAUGUUUGGAUAGAGAAAAAUUAUGGCAACACUAUUUAUAAUUCAAUUUAAAUUGACAACAUCCCAGUGAAAAUCUUCCUCUGCCUUAUUUUUACUUUUCUUUUUAAUUUCACCUAGCUAGAAGAUGUUUGGAUAGAGAAAAAUUACCGCAACGCUAUUUAUAAUUCAAUUUAACUUUAGCAGAGUCCCAGUGAGGAGCGUCGAGUACCUUUGAGUGGCAGGUAGCCCCUCUCCUUGAGCUCCCGGAGCCUCAUGUGGCCCAUGAGCGCCGCCGCGCUGCCGCCCCAGAGCACCAUGCUGGGGACGCCAAGGUCCCUCGCCACCUCCAGUGCGAAACUCAUCAGCGCCGUCGGCAGCACGCACGUCACUGGCGGCACGUCGCCGCCGCCAACGCGGAGCCGCGCGACGAGGUCCCUCAGCGGCGCCGCGCCGUGGUGGACGGUGGCCCUGGACAGGCCGAGGUCGUAGUCCUGCGCGCCCCGGUCGGCGUCGAGCAGCCCGUCCGGGAUGGUCUCGAUCCGGAACCCCUCGCGGGCGCCGGCGGUCACGGCGCCGUCGCCGCCGCCGGCGGCGGCCUCCGCGCGGCGGAGGUUGUGCUCGGUGACCACGAAGGUGAUGAAGACGCCGCCGCGGCGGAGGAGCUGGGCCAGCUGCAGCGCCGGGUUGAUGUUGCCGGAGCCCGGGUACGGCACCACCACGGCGUGCGGCCUCGCCAUGCUCGCUCGCUCUUGUUGGUGCUCUUGCACGUACACUUGGGCUCAGUUGUUCUUCUGUGUGCUUAUCUCGCCAUGGAUCAGAAUUAACAAAUAUAUGGCACGUUGGAGAGGGAGAUCUAUGGCCCGUCCCGCGACCGCGAGUCCCGACGCAUUUGGCGGGUUAGAGGAUCAUGUGCUGGUGGGAGGUAUACGCGGGAUCGAGAGAUACCGUUGUACAAGGAGGAUUAUGAUCCAAGGGCAGUAUAGUAAAAAAUUAUUAUAGAACCACUAUAUGAUCACAAAUAAUCUCAAAUAAGCUAUCUAAGACUUACUUAUUUUAGAUUAUUUAUGGUCCUAAUGUGGUUCCAAGAUGAUCUUUUACCAUAAUACUCAUGACCUAUAAUUCAGCUUAUAUAAUCUACUAGGUGGAUUAUAAUCUUAAACAAACAGGACCUAAACGCUCUAUAUAUUUCAUAUAUUUACAUCUCACAGCUAGGUCAGACUAAAUAAUGGAGUUCGACUACCAACUACGUUGAUCAUGUAUAUAGUUUUGGACUACGUAGAAACUUCAUAAUCAACAAUAGGACCAUGAAUAUAAUGUGCAUGUUGAUGUUUGACUGCAACUAUAUCUUAAACAUUUGUGGUUUCCAACACUUAAUGUAUAUAUUGUACACAUUUUUCAAAGUUACGCUACCACAGAAGAGGUCAUCACCUCCGACCUCAAAUCCUUUAUCACCGCCGUUUUGGUGACCCGUCAGGGUCGGCGGUGAUGACUUUUAUUAUCAUAAUCGGAUUUGAAACUAGCGGUGAUAAGCAUCAGGAAAAAAAAAGAAAUUCGGCCCGAUGCUGCUCCUCAAGUGCUACAGCAUCCAGAGCGCCGCUGCCUCGUGGCUCGGUGCCGCUCCACCCCACGCCGCCGUCUCGCGGCCUGGUUCCUUUCCACUCACGGCGCCGCGUCCAUCACUUCCGCGUCCAGCACUGCGUUGCUCCCCCACACGCCGCCGUCUCGCAGCCUGAUGCGCUCCAUCCCACGCCACCGCAUUCGGCCCGCAGCUCCUCCACUAUGAUUGCCGCAUCCGACGUGCUCCUCCACCGGGAACCGCUGUGUCGCGUCCUAGCACUCCUCCCCCGCACGCUACCUCCUCCGACCUUGCCCUAGCGCUACCUCCACAUCUUGCCCCGCCGUCGCUCCUCGUUGCUAGUGAGGGGUGAGUGGAGGGGGGAGGGGAGAGGCAACAGAGAGGACCCAGCUGACCAUCAUCGUCAGCGACUGAGCAGAGAUCGGGGAGAUGGAGAGAGUGAAACACAAGAAGAGAGGAAGAGUGAAGGAGAGAAGCGGAGGAAGGAUAGAUGUGGAUAAGAGUGAGAAGAGAGAAGCGGAUGGGAAGAUGGGGAGAAGACCAAAUAAAAGUUAAGAGGAGAGAGAUGAGCGGAUGCGAGAUCGGUCAAAAUCAGAGUUGAGAACAAUUUUGGGUCCAGAGGCUAUAUCACCGCCAAAUUUAGUUACGAACUGGCGGUGAUACUUUCACUGCCAGUUUUAAUCACCAACCGGCGAUGCAAAGUACCAUCACCACUGAUUUUAACUGCUGUUGCCCCUAUUAGCUCAACUGGUGGUGAUAGCCCAUUGGUGAAACCUAUUUCUGUAGUAGUGUUACCUCUAUGACAUUGUAAUAUUUUUGGCUCUGACACUAAGUAUUACAGCAAUCCAUCGACGUCAUCUUGAAUCGCUCCUAUGAAACAAUAUUGAUAAAAUGUAACUAGUAACCGUGAAAUUUUAUGAGAUGGACAAGAUAUUCAAUUUCUUUUCACGAUCAAAUAGGCUUCCUCUAUUAUAGAGGAGCUGAAUGCAUUACAUUCCCUUUUCUUAGAGGGAACUAGAACAUUUUUGUGUCGAGGUCGAUCCAGCCGGGAAAAUGAAAGAGCAACUUUGCCGGCCCAAUGAGUGUGGGUCGCGGCAUGACGAAGGCCCACAGUUUGAGAGGCGGCGGCAAGCCCAACGUUUCUUCUUCCCCGAAAAACAAACCAGUGAAACCACACAAGCAACUGCUAGGCACGCGGCACCAAAGGAGCGACGGCGCCGACGUGCCUGACUGCCUGCAACGUCGGCUUUCCCUUUCGUGGUCACUGGGUCACCGCCAGCGGCUGCCUCCUUCAGUCCUCCUGCCGGGUGAUGGUGCUGGGCCAUAUGUGGCGCUGGCCCGCAGCGCAGGCGGGACGCACACCAACUGCUCGACGUAAUGGGUCAACGAUUCAAAUAGCCGCGCCCGGGUUUCUGAGAAGGUUGGAUUACUUUGCUUGCCUUGUCUUGGUUUCGUACAUUCUUGGAACUGACUAAAUUCUCUCCAGUACGAUUCAGAACUACCACACAACUCCACAAUACAGUUUUCCCCCUUCAAGGAUAAACAGACACUUGUGAAGGAGGCAAUCAAUUCCACCUUGUUCAACUUAUUCGAAUCAUCUAGAACAUUGUAGUGAACAUGUUUUCUAUUAGGCUACGACAUCGAUUCUUUUCAAACAUUGUUGCCUAAUUCACCUCCUCCCCCUCUUAAGCUACGAGCACCGAUUCCUUUCAAACAUAUUUUCCAUGAACUAGAAAGCCACUUGUGCACCAUUCCGUGGUUCAAGAAUAAUGUUCAGAAACAGUCUUAUAUAUUACUCGAUAAUACAGCACAACACAAUACACUUGAUAGUUACAUAUUUUUAUUUCCCAACAGCAUCCGCGACCAACCGCUGGGUGCACACAAUACGUUUAUUUGAGCUAAUGACAAUACUUACUUUAUGGUUCUGUCCUGACUUCCAUUAUUUAGGUACAUCACCAUGGUCUCAAACAUGACCGGUUAUUAUUUCAUUUGUACUAAGUACAAUAUAGCCCAUAGUUUGCUUAUAUGGUUGUACAUACCACCACGGCACCACUGGGCAAGCUUCAUUCUGGUAUUGGCUCCACGAAGAGUAGCUUUAUCAUUUCUUGGAGUAUUUCCGAAGUAGUAAAUGCGUCGCAUUGCUUGUACAUGUAAACUGCAGUUCUUGAUAAGUCGAGCACUGUUCGUCGCACGACCUUUGGUUGAUCUUCCAGCACGAGGGAUCCUUGUAUCAUAUCCUUCCAUGAAUCUUCACUGAGUUGUUUUAUCUUUUUAUAUGCAUCUUGCAUUGUUGUUCCGUGCUCCUUCAUGUAACACUGGAUACUGGAGGGGCUAUGGUCCCCUGUUUGCUCACGCUGUGAACAUGUGGGCAGUGGAAAACGGCAUCAAGUUCGUUACUGUAACAACUAUAAGUUAAUCUUCCAAAUUAUAUAAUAAACUUAUAUUUAUAUUCUGCUUCACUAAAAUUGUAAAGUAGAUGAUGUUAUGAAUCUAGUCCAUGAACUGAACACAGUCCAUGAAAGAGGAACUGGAGGUUAAAAUGAAUUCAUAUUUACUGUUCUUUGCAUAAAUUAAACUUGUAUUAAGGAUAGGAAAAUACCUGAGUUGAUACAAGAUCAUUAGCGAGCCGUACAAAUAUAGCAAAAGACUUGAAAAAUUGCGGGUAGCUCAAAAUCCACUCGAAGACCUCCUUUGUUAUUAUGUCCCCCAUUCCAACAAAUGCAGCACAUGUUAGCGCAGCGGAUCCAACGCUUUCCAUUGUUACUUGAAGGUGCUCGCUCAUUGAUGGCACAUAAUUUUCUUCACGCCAUUUUAGUUCUUUGCAGUAUAGAUGAACUAAAUGCUUAAUCUAUAUGAGAUAUGAAAAUGAGUUGAGUCAUUUUAAAUCCUGAUAAAGCUGCCAAUAUGGAAGGCUUGAAAUAGGAUUUAAUUGAAUUGAAGGUAUUUGCAUUCUGCACAAUAUGUCAUGCUUGUACAUGGCCUAUGUUUGGAACAACUUUAUUGAUUGCCAUAUUUGUGCCGGAAUACAGUACACCAUAAUCCUUUUACCAAAAAAAAA